rnacentral:lncRNA from 1 species
GGAUAUAUAAAAUCAAAUAUACGUGGAUUUUAAAUUAUAGUUUACACUAUUAUAUAUAAAUUAUUUAAUUCUCCAGACUUGAGCACAAAAUCCUACCAUUAUCUCCCACCCUGAUUGCCGCGUGUAGAGCAGUUCUACCAUUCGGGCCGCCGUAGUCCACUGAGAUGCAAUUAGUUAGGAUUUCAUCGAUCACCGUUUCUCGUUCUUGACCCCUUCUGGAAGCAGCUGCAAUAUAAAGUGGAGUUUCUCCAUGAACAUUGGCGGAAUAUGAAAACUCAGGGUCCUCUUUUGUCAAUAUUUCCACCACUUGGGCUUGGAUAUUUCGAGCUGCCACGUGCAACGCUGUAUCUUGCUCUCCAUCGGCCAUCCUCAACAUCUUCUUUUCUUCUGUUACUCCGCUCUCUAGAUCAGUAGGUCGAGCUUUUGCGCGGUCAAUGAGGACUCUUACCACGUUGGAACGCCCAUAUCUUGCCGCAAAAUGGAGUGGGAUUUCACCUUUCUUAUUGGCCUGCAAUAAUAGUGGUGGACACUUUUCAAGAAUUUUAUCAACAAAAUCAGUGGAUUCUGAUUCUCUACGUUGGUUUUCUAAAGUAGACAUGAAGAAUGGUGUUCUCGUCUGGAGUCAAUAACUGAUCAAGGCAGGUUUGAUAUUUCUCAAAGGGACCGAUAUCGCCUUUAGCUGCAGCUUUGAACAAGACAGGAUCCAUAUAGGGCGUCAUACUAUUUUGUAGCUUAGAGAAACUCACUAAAUGAAAAGUAAACAAAUGAAGGGGAGGUGAAAUUAACCACUGUGGCUCAAAGGCAAGAGGUUCCACUCCUCAACUGAUCACAAGCUGCUGAUUUCUUCGGUAUUUAAAGGAAGAAAAAGCGUUAAGAACCACAAAUUACAUUUAUUUUCCAUUUUGAUAUUGUGUCGCAAUAUCUUUGAUUCUGAAACACAGAAUAAAAGGAAAGGAUUAUCAUGCUGACACUCUUCUUUUUUUAUCUGAUACUUAGACACUUGUAUAUAUUAAAGUAUCUCGCUACAUCAAACUUAAAAAGUGAAUUAAAAACAAACACAUGCGCAAGCAUAUGCCUGCGCGCGCACAUAAACUAAAUCAGUAUUUCACUGUAAAUAUUGGAUAUACAUUCAUAAAAACAUUAUUUAGCAAAGAAACUAAAACAUUUUAUCACAAUUUUAAAAAAAAAUAUAUGAGUAUUUUUUCCUUCUUUUAUAAGCAGAGAAUAUUGAUACUUUAACAUAUAUAUAUAUAUAUAUAUAUAUAUAUAUAUAUAUAUAUAUAUAUAUAUAUAUAUAUAUCAAAGUAUCUCGCCACACCAAUAUUUUAAUUUGGGACAUUAAAAAAUUAAUCGAACACAUUACCUAUAAUUUAAAAUAUUAUGAGAAAGUACAAUGACAAUAAUACUUUCCCCACAUUUUCCCCGCAUGUUUUUGUGUGGCUCUAAAAAAUAUGUUUGCUUUUUUUUUUUUCAAUUACUAUUUUUUUUAAUUUUAUCAUUUUAAUAUUAGUUUUUUUUUAUUGGGUUAUCUCACUCACAAGAUAUGAAUCGUGAGUUUGGCAAAUUAACCUAGUUGGCUGGGAUUUUAUUCUUCAUUAUUUAACUUUUUUAUAAUUUUAUCAUUUAAUAUUGAUUUAAUUAAGAAUUAGACUUUAUAAUUUAUUUUAUUAGGUUAAUCAAUUCUCAUAACCCAAGAAUAGAUCUUAGUAGAUUAAUCUUGAGUUGAUUUGAUUGUUUUUUAUGUUUUAUGUUUAAUUGAAUUUCUUUUCAAUUUUAUCAUUGAAUAUUAUGUCAGUUAGAAAUUAAGUAUUCAUAAUCUAUUUUGAUUUCUUUUUUAUUAGGAUAUCUUGGUCUCAUGAUCAAGGUCGCAAGUUUUGGUAUUUUAACCCUAGUUAAAUCAAGUUGUUAUUUUUUUUAUUUUCUUUCAAGAGGUCAUCUUGGUCUCGUACGUGUCCUUCAACAUUAUAUUUGUUUUUUAUUGGGUUGUCCAUGUUUCAUGACCUAAAUUGCGUAUUUGACAAAUUAAUCCAGUUGACUCAAUUUUUUUAUAACUGACUUUUUUCUCAAUUUCAUUAUUUAAUAUUGUGUUUGAUUAAGAAUUAGGCUUUAUUAUUUAUUUUAAUUUAAUUUUUAUGAGAUUAUUUUAGCUUGAUGACCUAAAAAUAGUGCUUAACAGGUUAACAUUUAUUGACUUAGCUUAUUUUUUUAAUUAAUUUUUUUACAAUUUCAUCAUUUAGCAUUAGGUUCGAUAGGAUCGAUUGAGUAUGUGUUGGAUUAAUCAAUAUUUUAUUGAUUGAUUUAUUAAUAAGAUAUUUUAAUCUGGAAUACUUUGAAGCUAAGAUUAUAUAAAUUAUAUAAAUGUAAUUGUUGAUUAAUUUAUAAUGUUUAAGUUUUUUUUCUUGUUUGGCUUAUCAUAAAAGACAAUAGAGAUGAAAUGCUUUCUAUAUGCUCUUGAACUUGACAAAUGCUCAAAUGUGAAUAAAUCACUCGUCAACAUAACUUCCUAGCAAGGCAUGUUGUUUUUUGGGACAAUAAAAAGUUUUCAAAAAAUCUUUAUUGUUAAUUCCCUAAGCAUAACUUCCUAGCAAGGCAGAGGAUUUUGAAACACGAAAGAAAAAGGAAAGGAAGACCAUGUUGUAAUUCAAAGUAUCUCGUUAAAUCAAUAUUUAUCAAACUUCAAAAGUGAAUUAAAAACACUCAUAUAUGUGCAAGCAUAUGCACGCAUCCAUUUACAUAAACUAAAUCAACAUUUUACUUAUUAGAGAUUAAAUUUUUUAUAUAUUUUUAUUAUUUUUUUUCUAUAUUGUUAUCUCAGUUUUAUAACCUGAGUCGCAAGUUUGAUAAAUUAACUUGGAUUUUUUUUAAGUUCUUUUUUUAAUUGAUUUUGUUUUUAAUUUCAUCAUUUUACUUUGAGUUGAUUGAAAAUUAACCUUUAUAAUUUAUUUUAAUUUGUUUUUCAUGGGGUUAUCAUAGUCUUAUAACUCAAGUCACAGAUUUGACAUUUCAACCUAAGUUGAUCUAAGUCAAUCUAAUAUGUUAUUAUCUUAAUAUUAAAAAAAAAUAUCAUCUUGAAUUAUUUUUAGUCAAAUUAUGUUUUUAUUGGUCGUCCGAGUUAUUUUUGGACCCUCAAAAUCAAUCAUGUCAUAUUGAGUCAACACUAACACGGUUUAAAUUUCUUUUCCACUAAAAUAUACAUUAGCAAUAUCUAAAUAUUUUUUUAUGUUCAAGAAAAAUUUGACUCAACCUACAAUGUAGCUAGCGCGGGUCAAUAAUCUAGUACACACACUAAACUAAAACAAUAUCUCAGUAUACAUGUACAUACAUUCAUAAAACACUAUUAAGAGAAUCAAACUAAAAAAUUCAAUCACAAAUUGUUUUAAAAUUCUUUAUUUUCUAUUUGUAACUAACAGUUUAUUCCAAAUAAUGAAUGUUUUUUUUUUUUAAUACAACUGAAUUUUAUUUGAUAGCAAAUCAAGGACUGAGUAUUUUAGGCAAAAUUAUUAUUAUUAUUAUUAUUAUUAUUAUUAUUAUUAUUAUAUGAAAAUAUACUUACUAUGAUAUUAAUUAUUAAUAACUAUCUAAUUAGGAAAAUUAAUUAUUCAUACUAAAUACAAAUUUAAUAUCAUUAUAUAUAUUGUUUCAAACAAAUUCCAAAUUUGCAUUAUUGUGAAAAAAUAAGAUUUUUGUGAACAUUUGUUUGUAGUAUAUGCUGGAUUAAUCAAUAUUUUAUUGAUUAAUUUAUUAAUGAAAUUCAUUAAUAUGGAAUACUGUCAAUCUAAGAUUAUAUAAAUUAUAUAAAUGCAAUUAUUGAUUAAUUUAUAAUUUUUAUGUUUUUUGUAUUUUUUUUCUUUGUUUUCUUAUCAUAAAAAACACUAGAGAUGAAAAGUUUUAAAAAACAUUUUAUUGUUAUUUCCCUCUUCUAAAGCAUAACUUGCUAGCAAGGCAAAGGAUUUUGGAAUACAAAAGUGAAAAGGAAAGGAUGACUAUGCUAACACUUCUUCCUUUUUUAAUGUUCUUUAUAAUACUUAGACACUCGUGCACAUCAAUGUAUCUCACUACAUUAAUAGUUAUUGAACUUAGAAAGUGAAUAAAAAACACACAUUUAUGAAAUUUUAUUUGAUAGCAAAUCUGGAAUUGACUGUUUUUGUUUGAAAUUUUUUUCACAAAUUUUGGCUAAAAUUUAAAAUUUGUCUCAUUAUUGAAAAGCAUCAUCAUCAUUAUUAUUAUAAACCCAAUUUUUUAAUUUAAAAAAAAAAACAAAAAAAAUAAAUGGAUUAAAAAAUAAUUUGAGAAUUGGGUUAAAACAACACAAAUUGAAAGUUUGAGGAUUAAUAAUGAUGGAAUUAUAAAUUUGGUAGUCAAUGUGGUAAAACAUUAGAAGAAUUAAUAAGUUUGGGGACUUAAUUAAACUUUGAUUUAAAGUUCAAGGAUCAAAGUGCAAGCAAUUAAAGUUCAAGAAUCAAAGUGAAUAAGCAGUUACACUAUAGGGGUUAAUUGAUUUUUUCAAGGGUAAUUUUGAUUGAAUUAAAAGUUAAAAAGUCAAUUAAGGAGUGAAUUGAUUAAAUUGGAAACCAAGUACUGUUUUGUAAAUGGCUUUGAAAUUUAGGGAUUCAAUUGCAAUUUGAUUUAGGGGUAACAUUAAGGAAAAAAUAAAGAUUUUUCUUGAUUAGAAUCGUAGUUAUUUAGUGUCAAAAGUUUAAAGGUCAAAUUAAAAAUAGUUAUUUCGAGUGUAACAGUGUCAUUUUCUUAUCAUCUCUUCAUCCUCCUGAAAACCGGAUUCACAGGAAACACAACCAAAAAAAUUAAAGCUGCCAAUAUCCCCACCCCACCCACACGAUGAAUCUCCUGUUCAACUCUGAGAACCAUUGUAACGCAAACAUAAGAAAUGAAUUAGCUAAUGUGUUCAUAAGAAACAGAUAUAAAACUGUGGUACAAGGACCACAUGCAAUCGACUUUAUUCCUGCGUUUAACAGUAAAAACAUCAUAAAACCCGCAGAAACCUAUGACAAAUAAUAUCGAUUUAUGGCAAACUUCUUAUAGUUGUAGUUAUAUCAUAUAUAGGCUUUGAAGAGGUAACUAGCUUCUUAUCAGCAAAAGAUAUAUAAACACAAUCAGCAAACAAGCCACUUCAAGAUUUUACGAUUUAGGAAAUCAAAACAACCACAUGAUUUCUGACCAUAUGAUGUCACGAAAUUUUUUCAAAAACAAUAAGAAUUUUUUAAAAAGUACAUCUUUUAUUUGAUAGGAAAUUUAUAAUAGAUUGUUUCUCUGGAAUAACUUAUCUUAAAAAUCCUUGCCUAAACAAACUAAACAUUAAGAGCGUGAUUGAGAUUAUAAUAAUGAUUUAAAGAAUUUUUUUAUUUGAAAAUAUAUUAAAAUAAAAUUUUUUAUUUUUUAAAAUUAUUUUUGACAUCGAUAUAUAUUAAAACGAUUUAAAAAUAUAUAUUUUUUAUUUUAAAUAAAAAUAAAUUUUUAAUUUGUUUUUUAUAAAUAUAAUUAAAGAAGCUUAAACCAAUGAGUCAGACAUUGAUAGCAAGCCACAAGAAAGGUAAUUAAUAUCCUAUCAUGGUAAACAACGUGGCAACCCCAAAUAAUAUCCUAGUGGUUUCCUUGUCUAUCUUUUCAUCCUUGACCAUUUCCGAACCUUGAAUCAGCAAAAUCAAAAAGUGAAUGAAGACAGCAAAAAUUGAGAGCACCAUUGACAUUUCAUUUGAUAUGACAAAUACGAUAAAAGUAGUUUUUUUUAGCUAGAAUUGCAGUGCUCUGAUAUGACAAAUCAUCCCCUUUCUCUUUAUUUUUCUCAUCAUUCCCUCUUCUCAAAACCUGGCGCCGGCUGCUAGGCGGUCCACUGCCAACGUCUUCUAGGGAUUCUAGGAUCUCUUGCUGCAAAAAGCUUAGGGUAAAAUAUCGUAGAUAUCCAUCAUUUUUAGCUAUUUAAUAAAUAUCAUAUAUCAACUUCCGGGCUUUUAAUUUUCAGAUAACCCAAUAUAUUAUUGUUUAUUGUUACUCUCCUUAAUUGCUUGUAAGAUUAUGUUAAGUUUUUAUUUGAUUUUUCAACUUUAAUUUUCAGAUUUUUUAAAUUUUAAUUAAUUGUUUUGUUUUCAUUCAUUUGUACUACUUUUCGUUUUUAGAUGGAAGGGCUUGUUUCCUUCGUCAUCCUUCUUCGUUUUAAGUCUGUCAAGUUAUGGAAUCUCCCAUAGUUAUUGCCGCAUGUAGAGCAGUUCUACCAUUAGGGCCGCCAUAGUCCACUGAAACGCAUUUUCCUAUGAUUUCAUCGACUACCUUUCCUCGUUCUUCGCUCCCCCAUGGGAUGAUGGAAGCAGCAAUAUAAAGUGGAGUUUCUCCAUGAACAUUGGCGGGAUAUGAAAACUGACGGUCCUCUUUAGUCAAUAUUUUCACCACACGGCUCUGGCUAUUUCGAGCUGCCUCGUGCAACGCUGUAUCUCCUUCUCCAUUGGUCAUCCUCAACAUCAUUUUAGCUUUAGUUAUUCUGCUCUCCGGAUCUGAAGGUAGAGCUUUUGCACGGUGAAAGAGGAGUUCUACCACAUUGGAAUGGCCAUAUCUUGCUGCCAAAUGGAGGGGGGGUUUCUCCUUUUUUAUUGGCUUGGAAUAACAGUGGUGGACACCUUUCAAGAAUUUUAUCAACAAAAUAAGUGGAUUCCGGUUCCGUUGUUUGGUUUCUUAAGUAGACAUGAAGAAUGGUGUUCUCGUCUGGAGUCAAUAACUGAUUGAGGCAGGUUUGACAAUUCUCAAAGGGACCGAUAUUGCCUGCUUCUGCAGCUUUGAACAAGAAAGGAUCCAUAAAUGAAAUGUAAACAAAUGAAGGGGAGGAGAAAGUACUGUGGAACAAAGGGUCCACUCAACUGAUCACAAGCUGCUGAUUUCUUUGGUUUUUUUACAAAAGAGAAAGCAUGAUAUAUGAAUCAUGUUUAGGACCUUUUUAAAAUCAUUGCCAUAUAUAUAUAAGAUUUGGGGUUCUAACAAGAUAUUCAUGUUAAUCACAAAUAGAAUCAUAAUGCAAAUAACUUCAUCUUUUAGGUGAUUGUUGAGCAAAAUGGCUAUGGAUGGAGUUGGCUAUUAACAAGAAGUGGAAGUGUAUUUCCCACAAUUAUUACAAUAUUUCUUCAAGCCAAAAUGAACUUGCUGACAAAUUAGUAAGUAACUGGCAGCUGUCAUCAAAAUAGAGUAUUAAUAAGAACAGGGGAAUUGGUACCCGUCGCCAGAGAAAGGCCAGAAGAGUGGGGGGGACGAACGAACGAGAAGAAGAGGACAUGAGUGGAGGAACGAACAAAGAAAACCAGGAAGACAGAAAAAACGAACAGAGACUCAGAAACGAAAACAAAGACCGAGAGAAAGACGAGAGGGCGAAGAAGAAAAACACAGAGGACAAACAAGAAACAGAGAGCAGAGGAGAAAGGCAGAAGGGGAGAGACCGAGAGAGAAUUAAAAGAAGUAAGACCAGAAGAGAAGCACGCGAAACACAGAAGUACAGGGAAGAAAGUAGCUUUGGCCAGCCAUUACACCUUCGCCAUCGUCUUCGUCCCCAAGCAGCACCAGAAAAACAUAGAGGACAAACAAGAAACAGAGAGCAGAGGAGAGAGGCAGAAGGGGAGAGAACCCAGAGAGAAAAGAAGCAAGACCAGAAGAGAGCGCACGAAAAACAGAAGCAGAGGGAAGAGAGUAGCUUUAGCCAGCCAGUACACAUCCGCCAUUAUUAAUAUUUAAUAAUAAUAUUAAAUGUCGCCACGAUCUCGAUUGCCUCAAAAGACAGCUUUCCUGUUUACACUACAAGGAAGGUUAUGUCUCGCUAAAUUAACUCAUAAUUAAAAAACCAAAAACCUUAGGCCACAAGCUACGAAGCACCAAACCAAAAAUAAAAUACAAAUAAUCAAAAUGAAUAUAUGACAAUUAGCUCUUUUGUUUAUUGAAGGCAAGAGGCCCUUUUCCUUAAUUGAAGCAUCAUUUAAUUGAUAGUUGAUUUCUUGUGCUUCUGUCAGUUGUGGGUUCCGGUCGCCGUUAGACUCUAAGAUCUAAAGCAAAAUUACUGCGACCCCUUCUGGAUGACAUUGGUUGAUGUAUGGUCCAUCUGCAGUGGCACAAAAGCAAUGUAUUAUAGAGGGGAUUAAUUAAUAUAUCGGCUGAGUAGCCGAGAGAGACAUUAACACACACGUACUGCAGCAAUAUUUUCUGAAUGGAGGAGGGCGGCAAGAACACUUUGCCAACAACAAUCCUUUACAUGAUUAUGGCAGGAACGGCUUUUUUUCCACUCAUGAUCACCUGUAAUUGCAGUACGUCGAUGAGUUAGUACACUUCAUAUAAUUAAUUAAAUAGUUUGAUUAAUGGCAGAAAGUUAAUACAGACACAACGCCCAUCAAAACCUAAUGCAUCAGGUCUUGGUUUAAAACACAAAUUCUUGUUAGCAAAAAUUGCUAGGAUUUAUAAAUGUUUUUGUUUGUAAAUGGGCAUUGUAUAUUUCUCAAUUUUUCUAAAAAAAACUGAAGAGGACUAAAAGCUAUUUCCAAGUGCUCCACUAUAAGAGAAAAAUUUGAAAAAAAAAAUGUUAAGAGAAUAAGAAUUAAAAGUGAAUUAUCAUAUUUGAAGAAAUUUUAAUUGAAAAUCGAUUAACUUGCUAAUUUCAAUUGUAUUGUAUGUGAUAAGGAUAGACCUAAAUUUGCUUCAUACGUAUGUGUUAUUGACCGGAACAGUUUGAUUGGAUUAAAACGAAACAUGUGAAAGUAAACACGACUAAUUAAAUUAAAUAAAAUCAACUAAGAAAAAUAUUUUAUGGAUAAUAGUAAAUGCUAAUAUAAAUCAAGUCAAAAUCUAAAUUAAAUAUAAUUAUAAAAAAACUUAAAAUCACUUAUAUAAAAUUUAAAAAUAUAUUUAUGGUUUUAAAUGAGAAAUGGAAUAAAAAGGGAGGGACAUAUACCAGAGCAAAGAAUUUUUCCCCUUCAAAAUUUCUUUAUCCCCUUACCUUUCCUCCACGAAAUGAGGGUUAAAUGAUAACCUCGUUAAAAUGAUUCUCUCUUUCUAAAUUUGUACCAAACAUGAGGGAUGAAAAUUGAAAGUAGGGAACCUCUCUUACCCUUAACCAAAAUUAACCUAAAAACCAAGUUUCUUGUUUGGUUCACUUUUUUUUUUUUUUUAAUUUUAAUGUAAAACCAAACGAUAACUUUUAUUUUCUAUUUUAAAAAAUAGAAACACAAAAAACAAAAAAAUAAAUCAAGUAAAGGCAUCCUAGAAGUCAAAACCUCAAGAACAACAACACUGACAGGAAGAGCAAUAAUUAAAGAGCAUAUUUGCUGACUACGUACAGAGAUGAUCACAUAUUAUUAUUUUUUUUAAAAAGGAUGUUUACUUUUUGUAGUACUUUAUAUAAAUCUAUCUAUAACUCCUCCUCUUUUUUUUUAACAUGCAUCAAAACAAGAGUUAUUAAAAUUCGAGCUUUGAUUUAAUUAUUUUUUGUUCAGAGAUAAUGAUGUAUAAACUGAAGUCGCUGUAAAUGAAGAGGGGAUAACUUCAGAUAUUUCACCAACUCAGAUUUUAUACAUGGGAUCGUACCAUGUGCUGUAUCACCAGGCAAUUGGGAUGGCCGACUGGUAGGUGUUGUAGACAAUGUUGCUGGUGAAGAAGUUUUCGCUGUUGCUGCUGUUAGCGGCCGCGUCAGUGAUAGAUGAUGGCUUUGUCGUUUCAACAAGUGAAGUAAUGGUACCAAAACUAAUUAGAAAACCCGCAGUACUACUCGAAGAUGCUGAAGGGUCUGAAAUAUGAGUUGACGUUUUCGUUCCAUUGUUUUUAGAAGGUUGAGUUUGUGAAGAUGAGAAUAUGUCUGGGGUUACAGAUGGUUGAAUUUGUGAUGUUGGUGACAGUGGCAGCAGCUGUUGUGAAGGUUGAGAUGGCGGCUGUUGUGAAUGUUGAGAUGGCGGCUGUUUUGAAGGUUGAGAUGCAUUGUUGUUCAUCGACUCUUUGUUAUUACGCGUAUCCCGGAAGGUUGAGAAUAUGUCUGGUUUUUCUCCCUGAUGAUCAGGGGUUACAGAUGGUUGAAUUUGUGAUGUUGGUGCUGUGGCCGCAGCUGUUGUGAAGGUUGAGAUGCGGCGUUGUUCAUCGACCUUUGUUAUCACGCUUAUCCCGGAAGGUAUUGGGUGGAAGAGGAGGAAAGUCUCGUGGAGACUCGAUAGCAUAAUUUUUAUAUGGAGGCUUCCUAGCAAAGUUAUCAUGGUGGGAAGGUACUUUUGAUCUUGAAGAUGGAUUAUUGUGAUACCAAUUUGUGUUAGGAGAGUAAUUGGCAGCACUCUCGCGCACCAUUAUGACCAUGUUCACCGUCUCAAAACAAUCCAGCCUUUUUUAGAUAGGACAUAUUUGGGAUGCUAAUACCUUUUAUUUAUGCAAUCAGUCCUCGUACACAAUCUCUUAAACCAGUUAUGAUUUCUAAUGACUAAAAUACUAGAUGGCGACUCUCAUUUUAUUUUUCCACUCAUAAAAGAUAAGAAUUCUUUGUCUUCCUACACAUUUGCCAGAUCAAUAGAAAAUAAUAAUUUUGAGGGUGGAUGCUUUCGUCGGGACACCGUGUUAAAAAUUAUACAAAACACAUAUGCUAAUCAUCCGCUGCAGAUAAAGGAAACCAUGUAUGGUGCAUACAUAUCCUCUGAAGACUCCCUGUCAACAUACAAUUCCAGCUGAAACAAACUUCUAGUCAUUGUAUUUACAUUACAUACAACUUGUAAUCUAUCCUAUAAAAAGGAACUCACAUUAAUAAAGAAAGUAUGUUCAACAAUUUUCUAUAUGGUAUCAGAGCCUACCUUCUCUCACGAGACUCUCCAAUAUGGCCUCAACUAAAGAUGCUGUCAUCAUAAACUCUGAAACUCAUAGCAAUGGUGAUACUCACCUCAUUGCAUUCAAUGCUAGUUCUCAACUUCCCCUGAAACUGACACCCUCAAAUUUUCCCUCCUGGCGUGCUCAACUAAUGUCCUUGCUAAUAGGUUACAACCUACAAGGACAUAUUGAUCGAACCACUAGUUGUACAUCUCAAACAUUACAUGAUCCAAAUACUGGAUUAUCUACUGCAGGUGAUUCAAAUCCUGCUUUUUGGCGUUGGUUUCGGCAAGAUAACUUGCUCCUUCAUGCAAUCCUUGCAUCUGUUUCAGAACCAGUUUUGCCACUAAUCGCCACUUCCACCACUGCUCGUGAUGCAUGGGUAAAAAUACAACGAUUGUAUGCAAAUCGAUCAUGCACGCGUGUCAUGCAACUCAAGGAAGAGUUGACACUUAUACAAAGAGGAAGCCAACCAGUUUCAGAUUACCUCAACACUGUCAAAAGGCUAGUUGAUGAACUCACUGUCAUUGAUACUCCCAUAUGCAUAGAUGGCAUUACGUUAUAUAUUCUCAAUGGAAUAGGAGCAGAAUUUCGUGAUAUAGCAACCAUGAUACGAACCAGAGAAACAUCCCUCACAUUUGAGGAACUCCAUGAUGUAUUAAUCAGUCAUGAAAAUUAUCUCAAGCAUAUUGAUGCCUCCAACUCCAGAUUAAUAGCCACUGUUAAUGCAACACAACACAGCAGAUACUUCAAACCAGGACGCUCUUCAAACCCUCCUACUGGUUACUACAGGUCCAACCAACGGAGAUACGUCCCCAGAGACAAAUCCAGUCAGCCUCCACUAAUUUGUCAACUAUGUGAUACCAAAGGACACUCAGCCAAAACAUUGUUGCUACCCAAUUUUUGACCCUUGUUUUUGAUAUGUUUUCAAAAAAUCUAAAAAAUUGAGAAAAACAAAGAAAAUCCAAAAAAUAUGUUUUUUAAUAUAUUUUUGUCAUUUUAGCAUUUUCAACGUCGUCUAAAAAGAAUUUAAAUUGUUAAAAUAUUUUCAAACGCGUUCGACUUUUCACGCGUCAUUUUUAAAAUCAUUGAUUUUCCGCAUUUGAGUCGACGUUGAUAUUGCUCGUUUUCAAAAAAUACAAAAAAUAAGAAAAAUCUAAAUUUACAAAAAAAAAGAAGUUGAGGGACCAAGUCGAAAGACCUAGCAACAUUUUUGCCUAUAAAUACCAUGCUAAACUGAUUUUUAAGGGGGGGGGUAAUUUUGACACUUUUAGAAGAAAAAAAUACAGAAACCCUAACCCUAAAAAAAAAAAAACUUUUUCUUUCACACCAGCCGCCCCCCUGGUUUUCAUUUUUGAUCCCCCGGAGUUGCUCCUCGGUUUGAUUUUUCUGACCCAAAAAAAACCGGCCACCCGAACCAGCCUCCCCCUGUUUUCAUCUUCUUCUCCGCCGUUCCCUUUCUCUCGGCCACAAACAAAUCCAAAACGCAGCCCCUUUUCUUUCCAUUUCUUCUCCCUCACCGGACCCAAACCAGCCUGCCAAGACAGCUCCCUCUCAGUCGUUCCUCCUUCUUCAUCGUCAGCGACCCGCAACCAUCAAGGACUCAGCUCGGACUGACCUCCUUCUCAGCCACCAUGAGCUGACCACCAUCUCUUCUCCGUUCAGCCUCCAACAGCAGCAGCGCCGUCCUCGGCAGCGGCCACAGACCCAGCUCACCGCCUCCAGCAGCGGCACGCCCACAGAUCGCGAUCUGUUCGCUCCUCCGCCUCAUCAUCAACAGCGCCUUCUUCCUCUCCGCAGUGGCCACCGCAGCCGACCAUCACCGGAUCUGCAACCGGCGAAGGAAGAGAGCAGACCUGCAAAAAAAAAAAAACAGAUCUAAAAAACGAAACAAACAAACAAAAAGUUAAAAUCGACUGCCGUGUGUGUUUCUUCUCUUGUUCUGCAGGUCGCCGGUGGUUUAGGAAGACAAGGGAGAAGAAGCCGGUCCGAAGCCUCCAUGUUUCUGGUUUUUUUCCGUGGUGGCGCGUGAACCCACGCGCCGCCAGUGGCGGGGGUGCGUGAGGUCCACGCGCCGGAACUAUUCAUUCAUCCCCAGAAGUCUUUCCGUACAAAUUCGGGAGUUUUGAGGGACCAUUUUGUAAAUUUUAAAGUUUUAAUGUAAUUUUUGUUUAUUUAUUUUAAAUUUGUAAUAUGUGAAUGUAAAAGAAAAAAAAAGAAGAAAAAAAAAAGAAAAUAAUAAUAACAAAGGGGAUGUGUGUGUUGGUGUAUUUUUAUUUAUUUAUUUUGAAUUUGUAUUUGUAUUUGUAAAAGAAAAGGAAAAGAAAAGAAAAAGAAAAGAAAAGAAUAAAAAUAGUGAAAGUGUAUGUGUGUGUUUGUAUUUUGUUUUAUUUAUUUGUAUAUAUUUUUAAUGAUAAAAUUGCAAAUAUAUUAAAGAAGAAUUUAAUAUUUUGAUUGGAUCACGGUUAAGAAUUAUUAACUUAUACGUAAGUGAUAUUUCUAAUUUCCGAUGAAAAAAACAAUUAUUAAAACUUCUUUAACACGUGUAUGUGUGUGUUUGUAUUUUAUUUUAUUUAUUUGUAUAUAUUUUUUAAGGAUGAAAUUGCAAAAUACAUUAAAGAAGAAUUUAAUAUUUUGAUCGGAUCACGGUUAAGAAUUAUUAACUUAUACGUAAGUGAUAUUUCUAAUUUCCGAAGAAAAGACAAUUAUUAAAACUUCUUUAACACGUCAAAGCCACGAAGCAGCUUACCUCAGGUAGGGUGCGUUAGGGGUGCUAAUACCUUCCCUAACCACAACCAGUCCCUUACCCGCGAAUCUCUGACAAGACCAGUAUAUCCGGUUUCCUAGUAGCCCGCAAUCAAUUACUAGGUGGCGACUCCAACGUAUGAAUUCAAAGCAAACACAACAACGAGACUUAAAUCGCCAGCCGAUGCCGCGCGCUGAUUUUUUUUUGGGGUGCGACAAACAUGUCGUAAGGUAUCAAGGCCAAAAACUGCAAAUUGUGCAGCUACAAAUGGCACACAGGAGAAGAAAUGGCUCAUGGACUCAACAGCAUCACAUCACAUCACCUCUGAUCUUACAAACCUCUCAAUUCACUCUGAAUACGAUGGAACAGAUGAAGUAGUCAUCGGUGAUGGCUCAGGUUUGAAAGUAACACAUGUUGGCUCCAUGUCAUUGAGCUCAUUGUCAAAAUCCUUUCUUUUGCAUAAUACUCUUUGUGUCCCAGAUAUACACAAGAAUUUAGUCUCUGUUCAUAACUUUACCCGUUCAAAUAAUGUCUACAUAGAAUUUCAUCCAUUCUAUUUUCUUGUGAAGGAUCGGAACACGGGGACAACAAUACUUCGCGGUGAUUGCCAGGAUGGUGUCUAUCCACUGCCACAACUAUCAUCAAUCAAGAAGCCUUCAGCACUUGCACUUGUUGGUGAAAGAACCUCCCAUGAUCGCUGACACACACGACUUGGUCACCCCUCCACCAAAAUCUAUCGUUCUCUAAUCAGUCGGUUUUCCCUUCCAGUUCUAGGCUCCACCCAAACUUUGUCAUCUCUGUGUUCAGCUUGUCAAUGCAAUAAAAGUCAUCAAUUAUCGUUUUCCAAAACAUCACUCACAAGCACACAUCCUCUACAAUAUAUCUACACAGAUAUAUGGGGACCAGUAGCUUCAACCUCCAUCGAUGGUUAUCGAUAUUAUGUUCUAUUUGUGGACCACUUCACAAAGUACUGCUGGUUCUUUCCAAUUCAUCACAAAAAUGAUGUUCAUCCCAUUUUCAUUCAAUUAAAAGGAUUUGUUGAAAAACAGUUUGGUUUUCAAGUUAAAAAUCUAUACUCUGACAAUGGUGGUGAGUACCAGAGUUUACGUCAGUAUCUAUCAGACCAGUCCAUAAACAUGCUCACCACUGCUCCACACACACCACAACAAAAUGGGACAAGUGAACGACGACAUCGUCACAUUGUUGAGACAGGUCUCACAUUGCUUCAUCAAGCACAUCUUCUAGUGUCCUACUGGACACAUGCCUUUCAAACUACAGUUUAUCUAAUUAACCGCAUGCCAACUUCAAUUCUUCAAAACAAAAGUCUGUUUGAAAGCAUCUUUGGUCGUCAACCAAAUUAUCACAAACUGCGCACCUUUGGGUGCCAGUGUUUUCCAUGGCUCAAACCUUACAAUCACAACAAGCUGCAACCAAAGUCCAAAGCAUGCAUUUUUCUUGGUUACUCAAGCACUCAAAACACAUAUAAAUGCAUGGACAUUCACUCAUCCCGGAUUUACAUCUCAAAACAUGUUGUCUUUGAUGAAACUGUUUUUCCCUACUCUGCCUCCACUAGUGUGUCAUCACCAUCACAUGCAGGGAAUCCCACAAUCAUCUCUACCAUCCCGGUGGUUCCACCCUCAAGAUAGAUACCAUCCAGGCAAUCAUCAGAGACACCUGUUGCUCCUGUUGUUCCUCCAACUUCACCACCAACACAGAUUCCUGAUCCACCCCCUGCACCAUCAGAAAACAGGUUAGUAAUACAGCCACCAUUGUCACAAUCACCCACAAGACAACAUAACAUGAUCACAAGAUCCAUGAACAACAUCUAUAAGCCAAAACAAAUCCACCUCACCACCAAACACCCCCUCCCACAACCCAUAGAACCAACAUGUGUCUCUCAAGCCCUGAAAGAUAAAAAAUGGCGACAUGCCAUGUCUGAAGAGUUCAACGCCUUGGUUAAACAUGGCACCUGGGAACUGGUUCCAUCCAACCCAUCCAUCACUCCUGUAGGUUGCAGGUGGCUCUUUCGCAUUAAACACAAUGCUGAUGGCACAAUAUCAAGAUACAAAGCACGUCUGGUAGCUAAAGGAUAUCAUCAACGUCCUGGCCUUGAUUACAAUGAGACCUUCAGUCCAGUCGUCAAACCAGUAACAAUCAGAACUGUGUUAUCCAUUGCUUUUCAACAUCGCUGGUGCAUGAAACAACUGGACGUAAAUAAUGCAUUCCUUCAUGGGUCCCUACAAGAAGAUGUUUACAUGAUUCAGCCCCCAGGAUUUGUCGACUCCACAGUGCCCACCCACAUCUGCAAACUACACAAAUCCAUCUACGGCUUAAAACAGGCACCACGUGCCUGGUAUGACAAACUCAGCUCCUUUCUUCUGACACUGGGAUUCAAGCAAUCAAAGUCUGACUCUUCCUUGUUUAUCUACUCAAAGCAGGACAUCAUCUUAUUUCUACUGGUAUAUGUUGAUGAUGUGUUACUCACAGGUACUGAUUCCCAGGUUAUGGCCGACAUAAUACGUCAACUUGGUGCCCAAGUCUCACUAAAGGACCUUGGUGACCUGCACUAUUUUAUUGGGAUCGAAGUGCAGCCAACUCAUGAGGGAAUCUUCCUAUCUCAACAAAAAUACAUCAGAGAUCUUCUCAAGAGAACUAACAUGGAAGGAGCCAGACCAAUUCACACACCUAUGUCCACCAAACCAACACUUCAACUCAAUGAUGGUCAUCCCCUUGCAGACCAGAAACAAUAUCGAAGUGUCAUAGGAGCCCUACAGUACCUAGCCAUCACCAGACCAGACAUCGUUUUUGCUGUGAAUAAACUUGCUCAAUUCAUGCACCAACCCAGUCAACUUCACUGGACUUCAGCAAAACGGGUACUUCGGUAUCUCAAAGGCACAAUCACUCAUGGGAUAUCAUUAACACCCUCUGUCAAUCCUCAUCUCUCCGGAUACUCAGAUGCAGACUGGGGCACUGAUCCAGACAACAGACACUCUACCUCUGCCUAUCUCAUAUUCUUUGGCAACUGUCCAAUCUCAUGGAGCACAAGGAAACAACAUUCAGUUGCCAGAUCCUCCACAGAGGCCGAAUAUAGGGCCCUAGCCUCAACAACUUCAGAACUCAUAUGGAUUCACAAUUUACUUCAUGAACUGGGAAUCAAGAUGUCCCAACGUCCUAGCAUAUUCUGUGAUAACAUUGGAGCUACUCAACUGAGUCAAAAUCCAGUACUGCACUCUCGCAUGAAACACAUCGCCAUUGAUCUGCACUUUGUUCGUGAUCUGGUAAAGAAAGGCGUUUUAGAUGUCUCCCAUGUCAGUACCCAUGACCAACUUGCUGACUUCCUCACUAAACCCCUUCCACGUAUCAAGUUUCAAGCUAUGGUAAACAAGAUAGGCUUACUCAUUAGCCCGCCUAUCUUGAGGGAGCGUGUUAAAGAUUAUACAAAACACACAUGCUAAUCAUCCGUUGCAUAUAAAGGAAACCAUGUAUGGUGCAUACAUAUCAUCUGAAGACUCCCUGUCAACAUACAAUUCCAGCUGAAACAAACUUCUAGUCAUUGUAUUUACAUUACAUACAACUUGUAAUCUAUCCUAUGAAAAGGAACUCACAUUAAUAAAGAAAGUAUGUUCAGCAGUUUUCUAUACACCACACACCUACGAUAGUUACGAAGAUUGUGUACUCCCAUGAAUUCUCCGCUUUGUAUGGUAAAGUGUAAGAGUUAGGCUUAAAGCCACGACUUGAGGUAUACUUGUAUGGUAACACGAUAACAAUGACUUGAAUAGCUUAACGCGUACUGUCGGACCAAAUUAGUUUUUUACGAAUCUCAUUUCCUUAUUAAGUAUUUAGAAUCCAAAAAAGAAAAAACUAAUUAUUUGAUCCAAUGUUAUGUGUUGGGUUGUCCAAGUUAUUGUUAAGAUAAGAUCAUGCAAUUAAAUCUCAUGCUGAAUGGAAGUUGUUAAAUGUUAACAAGAGACUCAUAACAGUUGAAUUUCAUAUGUGAGUAAGGAGUUUUGUAGCAAAUUUUGAUAUGAUCAAAUACAAUGAUGAAUUUAUAUCUCAAUAGCCUGGAUUUAUGAUUUAAAGAAAGCAUCCAUCAACGUGUAUAAAUCCUUACGUGCAUCUCAUGUGAAGACAAAGGUGAUCUCAAGUGCAGAUUCUCCCCAAUACAUAUAUACGAGGUACAGCUUCUUAAAGACAAUCAGACCACAGAUGAGUUCUGUUGGUUGUAAUAUUGGAUUUUGGAACCGAACUAUGUAGAGAUGUCCAAGGACUGGCUUCCUGAGAAGUUUGAGACGGAAAUGGGGCUGAUGAAGUUCUUGAUGAAGAAUAUACCUAUUUCUUGGAGGAAAUAAUCAUAUGUACAUCAACAGUAGAGAGAAUCUUGAACGGAAGAAAAAGAGAGUAAAUAUUUAUAUCUUCGAAAACAUGUUCAAGUGCCCUUCUGCCGCACAUAAUUCUGAUCCUGAUGCCAAAAUCGUUUCCUUUUAAGAAUUAGUUUUGAUUUUUUUUUUUUAUUUUGGGUGAAAACUGAAAUACAUGAAAGAUUGUCUGUAAGGUUUUCGUAUAUUUAGACACAUAUCAGAAGAUUAUUUUGCUAAUUAUCUUGAUCUAAUUUCUUUAUUUUUUGUAAUUAGGUUUUGUUUUUCGAUUCAUAAAUGUUUUCUAUUAUGAUAUAUUUUUAAGAAAACAGAAAAUAAAAUAAAAAUAUAUUAACUUGUAAAUUUUCACUAAUAUAUUCUUGUUAGUACUCACAAAAUUAAAUAGAUUCAAUUAGAGGAAAUUCAGCAUAUAAUUUAUAUUGUUUUUUUUAACUAAUUACUGGUAUAACAAUCAAACACUAAUUCGAAUUAAAAUAAAAUAAAAUCAGUGACAUUACUUCUUCAUGAGAGAAUGAAAAGAACAGGAUCCGAUGGAAUCGCUAUAUAUCAUGUGAAGUUUACAAUUUCCACCAACGGUCAAGUGACAUGGUUAAUCAUACUCUUUUAAGCAUAUUAAUUGUAAACUUGCUUUGCACUUCUAUAUUAUGUAAUUAUUUAUUUUUGUAAUAUUUAUUAAUACCAGGCUGCAAAGUCAAUGCUCAGAGGAGAAUGAUUAACUACGUGCACGCCCUUGCAUUAUGAAUUUGUCUAUGACGACGUCCUCUUUAACAUGAUAGAGUGUAAUUUUCUUAGAUAAUUAAUUAAUUAUCUUGGUCUUUCCUUCAAGAUCUAACAUCCCAUUUGCAAAAUAAUUAUAUGAAAAGAAAGUCGGUCCAAUAUUAAACUAUAUAAUAAGUUACAAGUCCAAUCAUUUCCCAUUAUUUUAUCAAAUUACAUGUUCUAUUUCUAGAGAGCAUAUAUAUAUAGCACCGUGUUAGACAUAUUCAUACUAUCAUACACUUCAAUUCAAUCGUUCUUCUCUACAGUCAAAUUCAGGCUUCAGCAACAAAAGUUACAAUGGCGGUAAGCGUGUCUAGAUGUAGUGGAUGAAAUUAUAUAACCGUAGGUUAAUUAAUAAGAGUCUUCUAUUUAUUAAUAUUUUCUCCUAUCAUAUUACAACUGAAAGGAAAGAAUGGCACAAUUGUAUUGAAAAUUUUCAUUGUAUUUUACUCAGAUCAUAGAAAUGAGAGUGCAUAUGGAUUGUGCUAGAUGCGAGAGCAAGGUGAAAAAUUCUCUGGAAAAAGUCAAAGGUAAGAAAUUGGUCCACUAAAAACUUUCAUGCAUGCUCCUACAUAAAUCUCCAAUGUUCUUGAGAAACAUAAUCUAAAUGUUGUUCCUUCCUACAUAAAUCUCCAGUAUUUAUGUAAUAAGUACUUGUUGCUUUCACAGUUUGCUUCCUCUUCAAGAAAGGAGAUUACAUUAUGUUAGGAUACUGGCAUGCAAAUCUGACAAAACAAAAGAUAAAGGAUAGGAUAAAAUUAGAAAUGAGACACAAGAAUUUACUUGGUUCACCCAAUUAGGCUACGUUCACGGGCAAGUAUAGAAGGAUUUUACUAAGUAAUAUGAGAAUUACAACCUCUCUCUAAUAAUAGGAGAACAACUGAAAUCUUUUUAUUAUUAGGAGAAAACACCUCACUUACUCUCUCACAAAUACCUCACAAUUUUGUGGGAUUACUUUCCCUCUCUCACUCUCACUCUCCUCUUGCUCUCUCUUAUUUUUUCUUGUGAUGCAUAUGAGGCAAGGAAUGCAAUGGCAUCCUUGCCUUUGCCUUGCAAAAGGCAAGAGUAAGGCAAGUGGGCAAGUGGCAAAAGGGUACCAAUUAUCAAGUGCACAUUCAUUUUCCACUUUGCCAACAAUGUUUAGCUGGCUUCACACAUGGAAUCACAGAAAGCAUCUUUUCGGAGUCUGUCGCAUGAGCUGAAGACUAUCAAAGUACACAAUAUUAUUGGUUGCAACUUCAAUUUGUAAUCAAAAUAUUUAGAGAUGGAUGGAGACUGGCUUACUAAGAAGUUUGAGAAGGAAAUGGAGCUGGUGAUGUCAACAAAAGAGAGGAUUUUGAAGGGGAAAAAGGAGAGUGAUGUUCAACAUGUUCGAAAACCUGUUUUAAGUGCCACAGAGCUUCUCCUCAUGCCGAAUUCUUAUUCUUAUAGAUUUCUCUUGUCAUUUCCGGUUCUCUAAGCAUUCAAUGUAUCUCUGUUAACUCUUGCUUAUAAAUUGAUAUUUGAUACAACUGGAUGAUGUCUACUUUGUAUUGAUUUUUAUUUUCAUUUUUCUUGGUGAACAUUACUACCGAUCCUUGAAUUCUAAAAUCUAGAUUUUCCAUAGAAUUCAAUUCAAAUGGCAUCUUAAAUUCCCAUACCAUGUUUACCAAGUUGCGUAAGGUGUUUGUUAUUCCCUAUAGAGCAUGGUUGUCUCUAUGUUUCGUCAGUAAUGGACUACCUACCGAGAGAUCAUGAUGAAGCAUACAAUUUUUGUGCCUUUCUUCUUCAAAAAUUUGAAAGAUGCUCAAUCAACCACAUUCGCUAGAUGUUUUACAUUGCCAUUCUUUUGUCAGCUCAAACACUUUUAAGAUGCCUAAAUUCGUGUAAUUUUUCACUGUCCCUGCAACAAUUCAUGAGUACAAAAACUAGCUAGAUGUAUUCCCAAGCAUGCGUCGAGGAAGUAAAAUUUUAUCAGUUCACAAACUGCCAAAUACUUAUAACGGGCUUGCAGAUUUUGAGUCCAUACAAGGAUGUUUAGGAUUCGAGUAACACAAAACUUACUCUGUGGCAGCAGAGUUAUUCAGCUGCAUCAUUUUUCACCUCAAGUCCGGCACUGGCUUCACGGUCUAAUGAAGCAUCUGUUCUCUUAUUUUUUUGGACCAUCUUCUGAGUAACCAGAAGCUGAAGCGAAUUAAGUCGACCGAUACUACAAUUACUAUUCCCAAUAACGCGCUACGGGUGAUAGACACGCUAGUCGGACCAAUAAGAAGAACCCCAGAAAUAUAAUUUGCCACCAUACAACGCAAAGCUAGCCCCAGUAAUGACUUGAGUGGAUACUCCUGAAUAAUUAAAUUGAUCACCACAAUCGACGCAAAAAAGCCUAUAGUGUUGGAAGCCAUGAAGAAAAUAAACUCACGCCCAUUUCCUGAAGCCAUCCAAGCAUAAUAGUAAAACGUCCCAUCUUCAAGUUCUUCGGUGCGAAUGCCAGCAGGAGGGUUUAAGAUGGCUUGGUAUGCCAUACCUGCAAUAAGUACUGCCACAACCAACAAUACGUUGUGUUGCUGGGGGAGCCUGUUGAACUUCCUUAGCUAGUUUCUUGUAGUGCUUCACUGGAUUUAAAUGUUUAGCCACCUUAAGUAAGAAAUGCUCUGAAUUUUGACUCAAUGAUUCUGAUACGGUGCUAGAGAUUCGAGUAACUUGAACAUCAACAACAGUUCCAAGUUCCCUUGCUCUUAAUGCUCCAGCACCGUGAAGCAAUUCCCUGAGCAUGAAAUCACCAGCGUCAGCCUGCAUUUUUUGUGAGACAUCUAACAUGUCCCUAGCAGUUAAUCCAAUCUUGUUGACGACAUUCACAUUGAUUGUACCUAUGUCAAUACCUUGACCGCCAAGAAGUGAUUUCAGGGUCUGUAACAUAAGAAAAGAAAAGAGAUUACGUAAAAACUUCUUUUUCCGUUGUGUAAUCAAAGAUUACUUAAAAAUUAAACAUAAUACUAAUCCAGAACUCUGAUGCUCCGAAAGCAUCUGGAUCAACACGACAUGACAUAGCUGGUAUGAAUAUGAAAUACGGGUCAGACAUCCCAAAAACUCCACAUAUUUGAAGGAGAAAAGUAAUGGGAACAUGGGAAGCAUGAUGAAAUACAAAUCUUAUUCGUAUUACAUUAAUUACUCCUUUAAAUAGUAAGUCCAUAUAGAUUUAUACUUAGAUUUACAAUACUUUAUCUAUAAUAAUCUAGGAUAAUUCAAAAGACUUAAAAGAUAAAUACAUCUUGGAUAGUUACAUGCAUAUAUCUAGAACUAAAAUUUACUUUAAAUAAAAACUUCAAAAUUAUUUCCAACACUCCUUAACUUUGAAACUCUCACAUAAAUUUGAAUUUUGAUUGAAAACCAUCUUGUCAUGACUAGCUAAUGGCACCUCAUUGCCAUCUUUUCAAUCUUUCUUUCCAUAAAAAUGGUCUAUAUGAACAUGGUUGUUCCUAGCCAUUUUUCUCCUUUCAUGGUUGCCACCAUAUUUCUCUAACCAAACACUUCUUUUAAUAUUUGGCUCACUGUAUUUUAGUCCGGCUGCUGUCUUCUUCUUAUCAUGGCUCUUUAGCCACUUCUCAUGUCAUGUAAGAAGAGUUCUCUAGAUCUCUCCUCGGCCUCUCUUGUACAACAUCUUAUCUUUCGUUGCAAGAGGUUUUAGGUGUUUUUUUUUUACUAUUUUUUUAUGCAAGGCUAGCUAUGAACCUGUCCUCGACUCUAAAUCUAAAUAUCCUAUAAAUAACUAUGUAUCCUACCAUAGAUUAUCAAAGAAAAGCAUGACAUUUAUGAAUCAAUUAUAUGUUAUAUCUAUUCCUAACAAUGUGCAACUAUUUCUAACAAUGUGCAAGAAGCUUUGAAAGAUUUCAGGCGGAGGGAGGCAAUGAAUGAAGAGAUGAAGAGCUUUUGAAAAAACUCAACAUGGAAAGUUGUUGACGAAACUCAAAGAAAGUUACUUGUUGGAUGCAGCUGGGUUUUCAGCAUUAAAUGCAAAGUCGAUGAAACUAUUGAAUGAUGCAAAGCAAGACUUGUCACCAAUGGAUAUACUCAAACAUAUGGAAUUGAUUAUAUGGAGAUAUUCUUAUUAGUGGCCAAAAUUAAUACUGUUCGUAUUUUAUUAUCUCUAGCAGUAAAUCUUGAGUGGCCAAAAUUGAUUGGCCAAAAUUUAAAUGGAAAUCUCCAAGAAAAAGUGUAUAUGGAGUUGUCCCCUCGCUGUAAUCGGUAGACUAAAGGUAAUAAACAAGUUCGUAGGUUGAGAAAAUCCCUAUAUAGUUUGAAGUAGUCUCUUAGAUCAUGGUUUGAAAGGUUCACAAGUUUUAUGAAGUCUGUUGGUUACAAGCAAAGUAACUUAGAUCACACUCUAUUCUUGAAGCAUAAUAAAAACAAAUCACAGCUUUUAUUGUGUACGUUAAUGAUAUGAUAAUGAUUGGAAAUGAUCCUGAAGAAAAGAAAAUACUAUAAGAGCAUCUUACCCAUGACUUUGAGAUGAAAGACCUUAGUGAAUUAAAGUAUUUUCUUAGAAUUUAAGUGUCUAGAUCAAAGAAAGAUAUUUUUCUGUCACCAAAAAAACAUGCCUUAGACUUUCUAAAUGAAACUGGUAUGACAACAUGUAGUCCAACUAACACUCUCGUUGAAGAAAAUUUGAAACUAUAGGUGUAUUCAAAUCAAGUUCCUACUAACAACGAACAUUAUUAAAGGCUGGUUGGAAGAUUAAUAUAUCUUACAUGUACUCUGCCUAAUGUAGCUUAUGUGUUGAUUAUGGUUAGUCAAUUUAUACACUCCCUAAGUGAAGAAUAUAUGAAUGUUGUCAUCCGUAUCUUACACUAAGUUAUCUUUAGGAAAGGGAAUUUUAUUCACAAAAGAAGACAAUUUGGAUAUUAAUGACUAUACAAAUGCUAAUUGUUUUGGUCGAUUCAAGAUCGACAUUUUAUAUCUAGCUAUUUCACAUUUGUAGGAGGGAAUUUAGUUAUAUGGCGAAGUAAAAAACAUGAGGCAAUUGCUAGAUCCAGUGCUGAAGCAGAAUACAAAUUAAGAAAUGACUAAGGCAAUAUGCGAAUUGUUGUAGAUUAGAAAUUAGAUGCAAGAUUUACAUACUAAGCAAGUCAGCUCUAUGAAGUUAUAUUGUAAUAACAAGACAACGUGUGAUAUUGCUCAUAAUUUUCUCCAAUAUGAUCAAACUAAACAUGUUAGCAUGAUUAAACUAAACAUAUUGAGGUUAAUAUAUAUUUUAUCAAGGAGAAACCAGAAGAAAAAUUGAUUGAAGUUCUUUAUGUUCGAUCUCAAGACUAGCUUGCUGAUGUGCUGAUCAAGACAGUGACAAACCAAGCAUUUAAUGACUGUCUCAACAAACUAGACAUGGAUGACAUUUAUAAGGGAGUGUUGAUAAUUAUGAGUAAUUAUCUUCAUAUUUUAUCUCUACUGCUAGCUACAGAGAUAUAAUAGAAUUACUAGAAUUCCUGUGAACAUGUGAUUGUAUCUUGAUAGCUAUAGGUUUACAUAUAAUUAGUCAAUCAGCUGUCCUAAACUAUAGGAUAUAAAGAGGGCUUUGUAAAGUGGCUAUUUUAUGCCGUGCUAGAAAGAGGAACAAAUUAUUCUCUUCACAAACUCUGUAUUUAUCACUGUUAUAUGCAUAUAUUUAGAAGAUACUCAGGAGAACUAAAAGAUAAUUUGAAUGAAAAAAUCAAAAUUAAUUUCAACAUGUAAAACACAUAUUUGGUGAGUUUAAAACAGUGUUUCAGUAUCCUAAAUUUAAAAUUUGAUGGCUCUGAUUACGAGCAACAUAAAUUCUCCUUGUUUUGAAGGUUUAACUAAACCAGAUCAAAAUGAAUAGAAAAUAGGAAAUUCAAGUACGAAGGGAAAAUGACCAUCUGGUUUCGUAGUUGAGUUUUAUGUCUACCAUUAUGCAGAAAAUCAUAGUUGUAGAAAUAUAAUUCGAAAUUUAGAAAGUUAUACCCGAUCAUGCCCAUCCCAUGGCACCCCAAAAGAUAAGGAGCAAAGAAAGAAGGGAAAGCGGACUUGCCUGAGUCUGCCUCUUAGCUGUCGCAAGGUGUAAAACAGUAUUGCCAUCUUCGUCCGUCACAUUCAGAAGCUCCUUAAUGUUAUGCGGCUGGAGCACAUCAACCAUGACUUUGAAAGCCUCAAACUGAUUAUUUCUCAAAGCAAGGUGAAAUGCGGUUUCCCCUUUGAAUGUCACAAUGUCCUUGCUUGCAGGACAAAACUUGAGCAAUUCCUAUUGGCAGAUAUAUGUAUAUGAUCUGAUACGAUCCUUCUUUCCUUUUCUGUCAUGAUUCUUAUUCCUUUUAUGAGUUGAUUCCAGUAUUAUUCUUAGGAGAAAUAUCAGGAAUGUAGCUAGAAAUAUUCUUGUAAUCAAUGCACUUUGUGUAUAUUGUCGCACCCCCCCCCCAAAAAAAUUUUUUUCAAAUACGCAUCCAUUGCGGGUUCGACUGGCGAAAAUUUGUUUAUUUUAUUUUUAUUUGGUUCUUUGGAGUCGCCACCUAGUAUUUUGGUCACUAGGAACCUAACUGGUCUCAGAGAUCGGGUACGGAGACUGGUUGCGUAAAGGGAAGGUAUUAGCACCCCAAAUACGCCUUACCUAAGGUAAGCUGCAUUGUUUUAAAUGUCUGAUAAAAAAACUAAAGUGUUAUUGUGUUUUCCUAGUUGUUGGUCUGUCUAUGGUUCAAGAAAAAUCCCCCUCAGUAAGGAGGUCUUUAUCUUAUCGGGUAAAAAUCCUAACCGUUCUAACGUCCAUACCAAAACUUUACUAAUAAUAUUUAGGAAUACGUUUUACGUAUAAAUUCGUAAUCCCAAAUAUUAAAAGAAAACAAAAAGAAUUUUUUAGAAUUUUUGAAAUAUUGGCCUAGUUCUCAUGGCUUGAAUAAAUUGGUUAUUAAAGCCAAAAUGCAUGUUAAUACAUAUAUUGUUUUGCAAAUUUUCUUUGUUGUGUGAAAAUAUGAUGUUAUAAUAUUUAUGAAUAUAUAUUGGAGAGACUAGGCCGUAUUUUAAAACAAAAACAAUUUUUAGAAAAUAUUAUUUUUUAUGCUUUGACGAAAAUCGGGUAUUUUAAUACUGAGCUUGUAUCCUUACGGUAAAAAUACAACCCAAUAUUAAUUCCGCUUUUAAAAAAACAAAAAUGCAGAAAAUCAAUAACAUUUUUAGGGAAUUUUUUAGAAAUUUUUUGAAAGCAAAAACAUUUUUUAUUCUGAAAAUCUUUGAUGUUUUGACGAAAACCGGUAUUUAUAACACUGGUUUUGUAUCUUUACAGUAUAAAAAUACAAACCAAAAUUAAACCAUUUGAUAAAAAUAUGCAGAAAAAUCAACAACAUUUUUAGGGACUUUUUAGAAAUUUUUUUGAAAGCAAAAACAUUUUUUAUUCUGAAAAUCUUUGAUAUUUUGACGAAAACCGGGUAUUUAUAACACUGGUUUUGUAUCUUUACAGUAUAAAAAUACAAACCAGAAUUAAAACAUUUUUGACAAAAAAUAUGCAAAAAAUCACAAUAUUUUUAAAGAUUUUUUUUUUAUAUUUUUUUUUAUAAAUAUAUUUUAUAUAUAUAUAACAUAUAUACACACAUAUAUAUAUAUAUAUAUUAUAAUAAUAUAUAAUAUAUUAUAGGGCUGGGCCGGCCCAAAUAAAUGGGCCAGGCUCAGCCCAAAAAAAAUAAUAAAAGGGGGCGGGCCGGUCUCGGCCCGCAAUGAUAUUGGGCCGGUCUCGGCCCGUAACUAAUGUGGGCCGGUCUCGGCCCGUAACUUCUACAGUCUGGGCCAAGACCGGCCCAGACUUACAAGGCUGGGCCAGCAUCGGGCUGGCCCAGUGCCUUAAAACCCAGCGGGGGGGGGAGAAUUAUUUUUCUCCCCCCCCCGCCUCCUGCAUGCAACAUGCAGGAGGCCAGGCGAAAACAAAAAAAAAAAAAUGCAAAGGGGGAGGGGGUGUGCACCUGGCGUGGAGGCGACCGUUGGGGAGCUGCGGUGUCGUGGCCUCGAGGACGGCGGCGCUGUGGUGUUGCUGCGGCGGAGAGAAAAGAUUUCCUUCCUUCCCCUCUUCUUUUCCUUCCUUUCUCUUUGUUUUCUUUUUUUUUUUUUUUUGUUUUUUCGUUUUAUUCUUUUCUCUUCUCCUCUAUCUCGCUGGUUCUAUCUCUCUCUUCGGUCUCGUCUCUCUCUUUUUUCUUCUCUCUCUCCGGUCCCUCUCUCUCCUCUCGGCCUCUCUCUAUUUAUAAGCAAAAAGGAAACGGUUAGUGCGCCUUCAAUCACGCAACGGCUGGUCGGCCACUCUUGCUUUCGGUGGUGGUGGUGGGGGCGAGGAGAGAGAGAGAGGCGGGAAGUUUUGAAAAAAGAAAAAAAAAUGGUUUCGUCUCUGUUUCCGCGGGGGGAAAGGAAGAAGACGAACAGUGUCGUUCAAAACGACACCGUUCUGUCUUCUUCUUUUUUUUUUUUUUUUUUUUAUUAUAUAUAUAUAUAUGAAACGGCGUCGUUUUGGAUAAAACGCGCCGUUUCAUUUAAACGGGUCAAACUUCAAAACAGUCCUCCAAAUCGGUCCCUGCCCCUCUUGUUGGCCGCCUUUUUCAUUUUGGUCCUUGGCAUCUGAUUUAUGCAAUUUAGCCCUCAAUUGAUUAAUAAACUUUCAAUUUCUUCAAUUAGGCCCCUGAAACGAAAAAUUAGCAGCCCCUCCAUUUACGCGCCUCUUCCAAUUUGGUCCCUGGUUUCGGAUUUUCACAAUUAAGUCCCUAAUUGGCCCUUAAACUUCAAUUUUUAUGCAAUUGAGCCCCUGAUUUGACCCAAUAAAUUCCUAAAAAAUAUAUUUUGGCCCCAGAACUUAAAUUUCUCCAAAUUAAAGCCCAAAUUGACUUAAAAAUCAAUUUUUCUUGGAAUCAAAUCUUCUAUAAAUUCAAAUAAAAAUCCAAUUAAGUCCAUAAAAAUCCAAUUAAGCCCAUAAAAAUCCAAAUUUGGGCUUUUCUCCCUAAAAUUCCAAUUUUUCUUCUCAAUAGGGCUUUCAUCCUUCAAGAAUAUACUGUCAAAAAUUCAAUCCUUGUAUUUUUAAAUUCCUUGACCAAUUUUCUGACUGUUUUCCGGGCGCUUCUGCCUCCGGUUAUUUUUCUAACCUCUUUUGGCUAUUUAUUUUAUUUUUCAGGGGGAUCCAAAAAUGGGUUACAACAUAUAUAAUAUAAUACAAUCUUUCUCUGUUAUUCUUUCCGUGUCUUCUUUUCUUCAUGGUAUCAGAGCUGGUUCAUAUCAACCAGUCUCAUAUAAUAAUUGUUUAGAUGGCUUCUCGUGGAUUGGAGAAUAUUGAAGGUUCUAUUGCUCCUUCGUCAUUCAACCAACACCUGUAUUCUGAUUUGAAUAUUCCUGAUAUGAAUUCAAAUCAACGUCUGUGUUCUGUUCAAUUGAAUGAGUUCAAUUAUCUCCCUUGGUCAAGGGCUGUGUCUUUAGCGCUUGGUGGGAGAUCAAGAAUCGAAUUUAUUGACAAAAGUAUUGCUGCUCCUGAUGUCAACUCUCCGCAGUACAAAUCAUGGUUUGCUAGUGAUUAGAUGGUUCAAUCGUGGCUGCUCAACAUUACGGAACCACACAUUGCUGAAAUCUUCAGCUAUUUUGAAUCUGCUGCAGAUUUAUGGGAUGCAGUCAAAGAAAUGUAUGGAAAUCAGAAUAAUGUUGCCCGUGUGUUUCAGCUCAAGAAAGAUAUUUCAUGCUUGCACCAGGAAGGAAAAUCAUUUGUCCAAUACCUUGGGAAUAUGAAAAACAUGUGGAAUGAAUUGGCAAUCUAUCGACCUCACACCAUAGAUGCUGCAACCUUACUGAAACGAGCUGAAGAAAAUAAAAUCUUCCAACUUUUGGCUAAUUUAUCUCAUGACUAUGAAGAUCUUCGUAGCCGUAUUCUCAUGAACUUUGAAUUACCAUCCUUUGCAAAUGUGUGUGCGACUAUUCAACGGGAGGAAACUAGAAGAAAGGUUAUGAACUUGAGCAGCAAAUCAGAUUUCUCUGAACCCGAGCCUUUGUAUCCCAUCAGAGACGUUAUGAAGAGAAAGGGUACAAGAGUAGAAGAUCUGAUUUGAAAUGUAACCAUUGCAACAAUCUUGGACACUUGGUUGAACGAUGUUGGGAUCUUCAUCCUGAACUAAAACCAAAGUUUUCAAGAGACAACAAGGGAGGACAUAAGCCUUUUCAACCAUCAAGGUAUAAAGCCAACUCUGCAAACUCUGUGACCAACCAAUCUGCAAAUGGAUUAUCAACAUUUACUUCUAGUCCAGUCGACCUCAUCAACGAAUUUGCAUCAUAUCUUCAUGCAAGGCAGAGUGCAAAACAGAGUGGAGGUGAUCUAGAGGAGAACAAAGAUUCAUCAACACUGAUUGGUCAAUUUGCAGGAUUUCUAGCUGCAAAUAAAAAUGUCUCAGCUCCGGAUUUACCAGGUAUUUUGAAUGCCUUUUCUUCUGCUCUUAUUGUAAGUAAUGUGCAUGAUUUUUGGAUCAUAGAUUCAGGUGCCACUAAUCACAUAACCAACAAAUAUAAUCAAUUGCUUGACUUUACCAAUUUUUCUCCACCAUCUCAAAUAUCCGUUGCCAAUGGUAAAUUUGCACCAGUUUUUGGGGAAGGGAAGAUUAAGUUACUCUCUCAAACAAUUGCAUCUCCAGUUUUGUAUGUUCCCUCCUUCCCGUUUAAACUACUCUCUGUUGGAAGAAUUACAACAUCACUAAAUUGUCGGGUUGUUUUCUCUCCUUACAAUGUUGUAUUUCAGGAUCUAGUCACCAGGAAGACGAUUGGUGAAGGAUUCUUCUUUCAAGGUCUCUAUUACUUUUCUAAAGAUUUUUGCAUACCCAAGAGUUUUCAAGUCACUGGUUGUUUAGCUUCAGAAUCACAGUUAUGGCAUCAGCGUUUGGCACAUCCUUCAGAGCCUAUUUUGGCAAAACUGUUUCCGAAUUUGAACAGCAAAUCAAUAAACUGUGAUGUUUGCCCUUUGUCAAAAUCUACUCGUUUACCAUUUCCUUCUCCCAUAUCGUACUCAGUUAAACCGUUUGAUUUAGUUCAUUCCGAUGUUUGGGGUCCUGUCAUUGAGUCUUUUGAUGGUUAUAAAUACUUUAUUACAUUUGUUGAUGAUUUCUCUCGAUUUACUUGGCUAUACUUGUUAAAAGCAAAAAGUGAAGUUGCCACUGCAUUUCAAGAUUUCCAUCAUUUGGUUCGUACUCAAUUCUCAUCCCAAAUCAAAAUUCUCCGAUCAGAUAAUGGCUCUGAAUAUAUGUCUAAUGUCGCACGUGUGCGGCGUCGCGGCGAAAAUAAUAUGGUUUUUCCAUUUUUCUUAAAUUUGCAAUGUAAAUAUAUCUAUAUCUAUGGCGAUACAAGAAAAUAUUGUCUUUUAUUGGUAGAAAAUGGAAUGGGAGUCGCCACCUAGUGUUUUGGUCACUAGGAACCCUAACUGGUCACAGAGAUCGGGUACGAGGACUGGUUGUGUAAAGGGAAGGUAUUAGCACACCAAAUACGCCUUACCUAAGGUAAGUCUGAUAAAAACUAAGGUAUUAUUGUACUUCUAAUUGUUGAUCUGUCUAUGGUUCAAGAAAAAUCCUCCUCGGUAAGAAGGUCUUUACCUUAUCGGGUAAGAAGGUCUUUACCUUAUCGGGUAAAAUCCUAACCGUUCUAACGUCUGUACCAAAACUUUAUUAACAAUAUUUAGGAAUACGUUUUACGUAUAAAUUCGUAAUCCCAAAUACUAAAAGAAAGAAAAAAAAACAAAAAAACAAAAAAAAAAAAUUUAGAAUUUUUGAAAUAUUGGCCUAGUUCUCAUGGCUUGAAUAAACUGGUUAUUAAAGCCAAAAUGCAUGCUAAUACAUAUAUUGUUUUGAAAAUUCCUUUUGUUGUGUGAAAAUAUGAUAUGAUAUUUAUAUAUAUUGGAGAGACUAGGCCGUAUUUUAAAACAAAAACAUUUUUUGGAAAAUUAUUUUUUUUUGAUGUUUUAACAAAAAUCGAGUAUUUUAAUAUUGGGUUUGUAUUCUUACUGUCGCACGUGUGCGGCGUCGCGGUGAAAAACUAAGUUUUUUCCAUUUUUAAAUCGACGAAGUAAUAUAUAUAUGGAGAUACGAAAAAUAUUAUUUUUCAUUGGUAAAAAUGGAGUGGGAGUCGCCACCUAGUAUUUUGGUCACUAGGAACCCUAACUGGUCUCAGAGAUUGGGUACGGGGACUGGUUGCGUAAAGGGAAGGUAUUAGCACCCCAAAUACGCCUUACCUAAGGUAAGCUGCAUUGUUUUAUUGUCUGAUAAAAACUAAGGUGUUAUUGUACAUUCUAGUCGUUGGUCUGUCUAUGGUUCAAGAAAAAUCCUCCUCAGUAAGAAGGUCUUUUAUCUUAUCGGGUAAAAUCUUAACCGUUCUAACGUCUAUACCAAAAUAAUAAUAUUUAGGAAUACGUUUUACGUAUAAAUUCGUAAUCCCAAAUACUAAAAAGAAAACAAAAAGAUUUUUUGAAUUUUUGAAAUAUUGGCCUAGUUCUCAUGGCUUAAAUAAACUGGUUAUUAAAGCCAAAAUGCAUGCUAAUACAUAUAUUGUUUUGAAAAUUUUAUUUGUUGUGUAAAAAAAAUAUGAUGUUAUGAUAUUUAUAUCUAUAUAUAUUGGAGAGACUAAGCCGUAUUUUAAAACAAAAACAAUUUUUUGAAAAUAUUAUUAUUAUUAAUUUGUUUUGCUUUUUGACGUGAAUCAGGUAUUUAAAUACUGAGCUUGUAUCCUUACGGUAUAAAAAUUCAACCCAAUAUUAUUCCACCUUAAUAAAAAUAUGCAGAAAAAUCAACAACAUUUUUAGGUAUUUUUUAGAAAAAUUUUUUGAAAGCAAAAACAUUUUUUAUUCGGAAAAUCUUUGAUAUUUUUAGGAAAAUCGGGUAUUUUUAACACUGGUUUUGUAUCUUUACAGUAUAAAAAUACCAACCAACAUUAACCCAUUUUGACAAAAAAAUAUUCAGGGAAAUCAACAAUAUUUUUCAAGAUUUUUUCGAAAUAUUUUUUUUUAGUAAAAAUAUAUAUACACAAUAUACACACAUAUAUAUUACCAAAUACUAUAAUUCAUAAUAUAUAUAUAAUAAAAAUUCGGGUUGGGCCGGCCCAAAUGAAUGGGCCGAACCCAACCCAGCUGGAAUCGGGCCGAUCUCGGCCCGCAAGGAGGAUGGGCCGAUCUCGGCCCAACAAAUGCUGGGCCGAUCUCGGCCCGCAAGGAGGUUGGGCCGAUCUCGGCCCGCAAGGAGGUUGGGCCGAUCUCGGCCCAACAAAAACUCUUUAGACUGGGCCAGACUCGGUCUGGCCCAAAAUAAAUAAUAACAAAACUGGGCCGGAAACCCGGCCCAGUGUAAAAAAAAACCCACGGGGAAGGGAAAAUAAUUCCCUUCCCCUACCUCCUGCAUGCAGAACGAUUCUGCAUGCAGGAGGAUAACAAAUAUAAACAAAAUGAAAACGCAGAGGGGGAAGAAGAAUACCUGGCACGACGGAGGUGAUGUUGCUGGUCGACGGUGCUGCAGCGGAGGUCGGCAGCUCACAACGACGGUUCCCAACAGUCCGGUGUCUCUCGGGUCGUGCUUGGUUUUUUUUCUUUCCACUAAGCUUUCCCAACGGCUUCAGUCUUCUUACCCCUUCUCCCAGCUUCGUUUCCUUGAAUUUUAUGUGUUUAUUACUUUAGUCCACUGUUUCUCUCUCCUUCAGUCUCUCUCUCUCGUGGUCUCGGUUAUUUUCCUUCUCUUUUCUCCCCCGUGCUUCCAGUCUCCUCCUUUCUUUUAUAGGCGAGCAACGGAGCGGGGCUGCAUGGGCAGCGUGGGGAGCAGAACAACGUGGGUUGAGCUGGGCAACGUGGGGAGCAGCACAGCGCCGGUCGGCUGGUCGGUGAGCGUGGUCGAUCACGGCGUGGCCCUCCUGGCUUCGCGUCGUCCGAGGUGCAUGGGCCUGGUCUGUCAGUGCACGCGAGGAGAGAGGGGCACCGGCUGAUUAAACAAAGGUUUCGUCCAUGCUGCUGCACGUUCGGGGAGGAAGAAGAAAGGGGAACAGUGCCGUUCAAAACGGCACCGUUCGGUCCUCUUUUUUUUUUUUUUUUUUUUUUUUAUUUUUUUAUAUAUAUGAAACGGCGUCGUUUUGGGGAAAACGCGCCGUUUCAUUUAAAAAAAGGCGCCAGAAUACGCAAAAUUUCAACUCAGCCCUCAAUUAUCUUUUGAUUCUUUCAAUUGCGUCCCUGCCAAUUUCGGUCCUCGCCCCCAUAGUUGGCCGCGUUUUUCAUCUUGGUCCUUGGCCUCUGAUUUAUGCAAUUAAGCCCUCAAUUGAUCAAUAAACUUCCAAUUUCUUCAAUUACGCCCCUGGAUCAAAUCAAGACAGCCCCCUCUAUUUACCCGCGUGUUCCAAAUUGGUCCCUGGUUUCGGAUUUUCACAAUUAACCCCUAAUUGGCCAUUAAACUUCAAUAUUUAUGCAAUUAAGCCCCUGAUUUGGCCUAAUAAAUUCCAAAAAAAUAUAUUUUGGCCCCAGAACUUAAAUUUCUUCCAAUUAAAGCCCAAAUUGACUUAAAAAUCAAUUUUUUCUUGCACUCCAAUCCUCUAUAAAUUCAAAUAAAAUCCAAUUAAGUCCGUAAACAUCCAAAUUUGGGCUUUUCUCCUCAAAAAUUCAAAUUUUCCUUCUCAACAGGGCUCUCAUCCUUCAAGAAAUACUGCCAAAAAUCCAAUCUCUGUAUUUUUUAACCUCCUUGACCAAUCUUUCGACCAUUUUCUGAGCGCUUAUGCCUCCUGUUAUUUUUCUAACCUUCUUCGGCUAUUUAUUUAUUAUCAUUUUUAUUUUUUGUGGGGACCCAAAAAUGGUUACAACACUUACGGUAAAAAAUAUGACCCAAUAUUAAUCCACCUUAAUAAAAAUAUGCAGAAAAAAUCAACAACAUUUUUUAGAGAUUUUUUUAGAAUUUUUAUGAAAGCAAAACAUUUUUUAUUCUAAAAAUCUUUGAUGUUUUAACGAAAACCGGGUAUAUUAAUACUGGAUUUGUAUCUUUACGGUAUAAAAAUACAAACCAACAUUAAACACUUUUGACCAAAAUAUGCAGGAAAAUCAACAAUAUUUUUAAAGAUUUUUUAGAAUAUAUAUAUAUUUUUUUAUAAUAUAUAUACACACAUAUAUCAUAUAAUAUAUAAUAAUAUAUAAUAUAAUAUAUUAAGUGGGCGGGCCGGCCCAAAUAAAUGGGCCGGACAACCCAGAAGAAAAAAAAGUUGGCCGACCUCGGCCCAAAAUAAAACUGGGCCGAUCUCGGUCCAACUAAAAAUCACUCCUUAGUCUGGGCCUGACCCGGCCCAGAUCGCAGGGCUGGGCCAGAACCAUUCUGGCCCACCCCAAAAAUAUUUCUGGGCCAGAACCCGUCUGGCCCAGAGAAGAAAAAACAACGCUGGGCCAGCAUCAGCCUGGCCCAGCAAACUGAAUGGGGGGAGGGAAUUAUUUUCCCUCCCCACCUCCUGCAUGCAGAAACGAUUCUGCAUGCAGGAGGAAAUCUUAGGCAGCGAAAGAAAAAAAAUGCAGGGGGAUGGAAUGUACCUGGCGAGGAGGAGGCGGUUGCUGGUGGCGCUGCGUGACGUGGCUCACGAACGGUGGCUCCGGGCAGUGCUGCGGCUGUUCGAACGGUGGAGGGUGCGGUUGUUGCUCUUCCCUUUCUCCUCCGUAUGGCUUCCUCUUUUUCGGUGGUUUCCUCCCUCUCAGUACAGUUUGCUAGCGUUGUUUGUUGUUCGGUUCUUUCCCUCCUUUUACUCUCUCUGGUUCGUUCUCCUCUUCCCUCUCUCUCUACCCUUCAAUCUUUCCUCUCUUUUUCUUUUUUUUUCCCUCUGCCUCUGCUUCUCUUUUUCGUCCCUUUUUCCUUCGGGUCACCUACUUUUAUAGGGGGAGAAGGAGCCUUGGGAGCGGACCAAUGCGGAGGCUGGUCGGCCAUUGGGCGCGACUGCCAAGGCGCAGCUCCCUUGAUUCCGGUGUGGUGCGCGGCGGGUGGUCGGCCAGUGUCUUCGGUCGGUGGUCCAACGGCGUGUGGGCUUCGGUCUGGUCGGUAGGAGAGGGGGACAUGCACCAUUAAAAAAACUUUCUUUUUCCUUCUUCCCCGUUGCCUAUUCGGGGGGGGAAGAAGAAAGGGGAACAGUGCCGUUCAAAACGGCACCGUUCGGUCUUCUCUUUUCUUUUCUUUUUUAUGUAUGAAACGGCGUCGUUUUGGAGAAAACGCGGCGUUUCAUUUAAAAAAAAGGCGCCAGAAAUAUGUUUUUUUCAAAUCAGUCCUUAAUUUAUCCUUUGUUCUAUUAAGUCCUCAAAUCUAAUCCUGAUUUUAAGAAUAAAAUUCAAUUGCAUCCCCGCUAAUUUCGGCCUCCACCCCUCAAGUUGGCCGCGUUUUCUAUUCUAAUCCUUGGCCUCUGUUUUGUUCAAUCAAGCCCUCAAUUGAUUAAUAAACUUCCAAUUUCUUCAAUUAGGCCCCUGAACCGAAUAAUUGCAGCCCUCCAUUUACGCGACUCUUCCAAUUUGGUCCCUGGUUUCGGAUUUUCUUAAUUAAGUCCCUAAUUGGCCAUUAAACUUCAAUAUUUAUGCAAUUAAGCCCCUGAUUUGGCCUAAUAAAUUCCAAAAAAAUAUAUUUUGGCCCCAAAACUUAAAUUUCUUCCAAUUAAAGCCCAAAUUGACUUAAAAAUCAAUUUUUUCUUGCACUCCAAUCCUCUAUAAAUUCAAAUAAAAUCCAAUUAAGUCCGUAAACAUCCAAAUUUGGGCUUUUCUCCUCAAAAAUUCAAAUUCUCCUUCUCAACAGGGCUCUCAUCCUUCAAGAUAAUACUGCCAAAAAUCCAAUAUCUGUAUUUUUUUUUAACCUCCUUGACCAAUCUUUCGACCAUUUUCUGAGUGCUUAUACCUCCUGUUAUUUUUCUAACCUUCUUCGGCUAUUUAUUUAUUAUCAUUUUUAUUUUUUGUGGGGACCCAAAAAUGGGUUACAACACUUACGGUAUAAAAAUAUGACCCAAUAUUAAUCCACCUUAAUAAAAAUAUGCAGAAAAAUCAACAAUUUUUAGAGAUUUUUUUAGAAUUUUUAUGAAAGCAAAACAUUUUUUAUUCUAAAAAUCUUUGAUGUUUUAACGAAAACCGGGUAUAUUAAUACUGGAUUUGUAUCUUUACGGUAUAAAAAUAUAAACCAACAUUAAACACUUUUGACCAAAAUAUGCAGGAAAAUCAACAAUAUUUUUAAAGAUUUUUUAGAAUAUAUAUAUAUUUUUUUAUAAUAUAUAUACACACAUAUAUCAUAUAAUAUAUAAUAAUAUAUAAUAUAAUAUAUUAAGUGGGCGGGCCGGCCCAAAUAAAUGGGCCGGACAACCCAGAAGAAAAAAAGUUGGGCCGACCUCGGCCCAAAAUAAAACUGGGCCGAUCUCGGUCCAACUAAAAAUCACUCCUUAGUCUGGGCCUGACCCGGCCCAGAUCGCAGGGCUGGGCCAGAACCAUUCUGGCCCACCCCAAAAAAAAUUCUGGGCCAGAACCCGCCUGGCCCAGAGAAGAAAAACCAACGCUGGGCCAGCAUCAGCCUGGCCCAGCGAACUGAAUGGGGGGGAGGGAAUUAUUUUCCCUCCCCACCUCCUGCAUGCAGAAACGAUUCUGCAUGCAGGAGGAAAUCUUAGGCAGCGAAAGAAAAAAAAUGCAGGGGGAUGGAAUGUACCUGGCGAGGAGGAGGCGGUUGCUGGUGGCGCUGCGGUGACGUGGCUCACGAACGGUGGCUCCGGGCAGUGCUGCGGCUGUUCGAACGGUGGAGGGUGCGGUUGUUGCUCUUCCCUUUCUCCUCCGUAUGGCUUCCUCUGUUUUUCGGUGGUUUCCUCCCUCUCAGUACAGGUUUGCUAGCGUUGUUUGUUUGUUCGGUUCUUUCCCUCCUUUUACUCUCUCUGGUUCGUUCUCUCUCUUCCCUCUCUCUCUACCCUUCAAUCUUUCCUCUCUUUUUUCUUUCUUUUUUUUCCCUCUGCCUCUGCUUCUCUUUUUUCGUCCCUUUUUCCUUCGGGUCACCUACUUUUAUAGGGGGAGAAGGAGCCUUGGGAGCGGACCAAUGCGGAGGCUGGUCGGCCAUUGGGCGCGACUACCAAGGCGCAGCUCCCUUGAUUCCGGUGUGGUGCGCGGCGGGUGGUCGGCCAGUGUCUUCGGUCGGUGGUCCAACGGCGUGUGGGCUUCGGUCUGGUCGGUAGGAGAGGGGGACAUGCACCAUUAAAAAAACUUUCUUUUUCCUUCUUCCCCGUUGCCUAUUCGGGGGGGGAAGAAGAAAGGGGAACAGUGCCGUUCAAAACGGCACCGUUCGGUCUUCUCUUUUCUUUUCUUUUUUAUGUAUGAAACGACGUCGUUUUGGAGAAAACGCGGCGUUUCAUUUAAAAAAAAGGCGCCAGAAAUAUGUUUUUUUCAAAUCAGUCCUUAAUUUAUCCUUUGUUCUAUUAAGUCCUCAAAUCUAAUCCUGAUUUUAAGAAUAAAAUUCAAUUGCAUCCCCGCUAAUUUCGGCCUCCACCCCUCAAGUUGGCCGCGUUUUCUAUUCUAAUCCUUGGCCUCUGUUUUGUUCAAUCAAGCCCUCAAUUGAUUAAUAAACUUCCAAUUUCUUCAAUUAGGCCCCUGAACCGAAUAAUUGCAGCCCUCCAUUUACGCGACUCUUCCAAUUUGGUCCCUGGUUUCGGAUUUUCUUAAUUAAGUCCCUAAUUGGCCAUUAAACUUCAAUAUUUAUGCAAUUAAGCCCCUGAUUUGGCCUAAUAAAUUCCAAAAAAAUAUAUUUUGGCCCCAAAACUUAAAUUUCUUCCAAUUAAAGCCCAAAUUGACUUAAAAAUCAAUUUUUCUUGCAAUCAAAACCCCUAUAAAAUCAAUUAAAAAUCCAAUUAAGUCCAUAAACAUCCAAAUUUGGGUUUUUCUCCUCAAAAUUCAAAAUUUCUUAUCCAUCAGGGCUCUCAUCAUCCAAGAAUAUACUGUCAAAAAUCCAAUCUUGGUAUUUUUUAACCUCCUUGACCAAUCUUCCGACCAUUUUCCGUGCGCUUCUGCCUCUUGUUAUUUUUCUAACCUUCUUUGGCUAUUUAUUUUAUUUUUUUGUGGGGACCCAAAAAUGGGUUACAACAUCUAAUAUCAUGAUAUAAUACUUGAGCAUGCAUGGCAUUAUUCACCAAACUAGUUGUGUUCAUACUCCACAACAAAACGGGAUAGCAGAGCGAAAGAACCGAGACUUACUAGAGAAAACGAGAUCACUGAUGUUUCAAAUGCAUGUGCCCAAAAUAUUGGUCUCAAGGAGUACUCACAGCUGCCUACCUUAUAAACAGAUUGCCUAGUAAAAUUCUAAUGUUUAAUUCUCCAGCUGAGUCAUUGACAGGGAAGAAGCCAUCUCUAUCACAUCUUAAAGUCUUUGGAUGCUCUUGUUAUGUGCACAUUCCAUCUUCUCAGCGUGACAAAUUGGAUCACAGAGCAGUCAAAUGUAUGUUCUUGGGCUAUUCUCCAACACAGAAGGGAUAUAAGUGCUACAAUUCCACUACUCAUAAACUUGUUGUUACCAGGGAUGUUCGGUUUGAUGAACACACAUCUUAUUUCUCUUCCAGUGAGAACUUCAAUCAGGAGGAGUCUUCAUCAGCCUUAUUUCCAUUGCCAACUCCAGUAGUUGAGGCCUAUUGCCCAGAACAAUCUCACUAUAAUGCAGGAAUGGACAUCCAUACUGAUCCUAUUUCAGUAGCAACAGAGGGGGCUGAUCUGCAAGUUGAACAUCAGGAGCACCUUCAUCCCUCCUCCAGGCGUAAUCCUAUUCGUAACCGUAAACCAUCAUCUAGGCUUCAUGAUUAUGUGACGUAUACAGUGAAGCAUCCUGUCACCAAUGCUCUAGCUUAUCAUCGAUCGUCUUCAUCUUUUGGAGCUUAUCUCAGCACAAUCACCAAAGCAACAGAACCAUGCAGUUUUAAUGAAGCCUGUCAUCAAACCGUUUGGCAGAAGGCUAUGCACGAGGAGCUUCAAGCUUUGGAUGCCAAUCACACUUGGAGUAUUGUGUCACUUCCAAAGAAUAAAAAGGUUGUUGGUAGUCGUUGGGUAUACAAGAUCAAAUUCAAGACAGAUGGUUCCAUUGCACGACAUAAAGCCAGAUUAGUCGCUCAAGGCUUCACUCAAACCCUAUGGCAUAGACUACAAGGAAACUUUUGCACCAGUUGCAAAAAUGAACACCAUUCACACUCUGCUCUCAGUUGCUAUAAAUUAUGGCUGGUUUUUUAUCUCAAAUGGAUGUCAAGAAUGCUUUUUUACACGGCGACCUCCAAGAAGAAGUGUAUAUGAAGUUACCACCCGGCCAUCCUCAGAGUAAUGAUCCCAAGCUGGUCUGCAAAUUGCAUAAAUCUAUCUAUGGCUUGAAACAAUCUCCCCGUGCUUGGUAUGCUAAGUUGAGCACUGUUCUUACUGACCUUGGGUUUACCAGAAGCAAUGCUGACCACUCACUAUUUGUUCGUAUCAAGGCUAAUGAAAGGUUGGUGGUUCUAAUUUAUGUUGAUGACCUUAUUGUUACCGGUAAUAAUCAUGCAGCUAUUGCCACUCUUAAGAGCAUUCUUCAUCAGCGAUUUGCUAUUAAGGAUCUUGGUGUUCUUAAAUAUUUUCUUGGCAUAGAGAUGGCUACUUCUCAUAAAGGAUUGUUUUUGAAUCAAUCCAAAUAUGUGUUGGACUUGUUGCGUGAAGCUGACAUGCUUGACUGCAAACCUGCAAAGACACCUCUGGAUAGCAAACUUCAGCUGACUUUGAAUGGGGACCUUUUUUAUCAACCUCAGCUUUAUCAGAAAUUGGUGGGCAAGCUUAUCUAUCUUACCAUCACCCGGCCUGAUCUGAGUCAUUCGGUUAGUAUUGUCAGUCAAUUCAUGCACUCACCUACAGCUCAUAUGAUGAUGUCAAACGAAUUCUUCGAUAUCUCAAGGCACUAUUGGACGUGGAAUUCUUAUGCAAAACCAUGGUCACACACAGAUACUUGGUUACACUGACGCAGAUUGGCCAGGAAAUACUCUUGAUCGCAAAUCUACUACGGGGUAUUGUAUCUUUGUUGGAGGAAAUCUAGUUUCAUGGAAAAGUAAGAAACAAUCAGUCGUUGCCCGUUCCAGCGCUGAAGCCGAAUAUCGCUCCAUGGCUUCCACUGCAUCUGAUCUUAUAUGGCUGAAAGCUUUGUUAACUGAUUUAGGUGUUUUUCACCCUCAACCUAUGUCCCUUUGCUGUGAUAAUCAAGUUGCAAUGCAUAUUGCUUCCAAUCCAGUAUUUCAUGAACGAACCAAACAUAUCGAAGUUGAUUGCCAUUAUAUUAGGGAGCAGGUUCAGUCACAGCUGAUUGUUACUCAAUAUACUAGGAGCGAGGAUCAACUUGCAGACUUAUUCACCAAAGCCUUGUCCUCUGCCCGUUUUCAAUUGCUGCUUUCCAAGCUGGGAUCAAUCAAUCUUCUUGAUCCAGCUUGAGGGGGAAUAUUGGCAGAUAUAUGUAUAUGAUCUGAUACGAUCCUUCUUUCCUUUUCUGUCAUGAUUCUUAUUCCUUUUAUGAGUUGAUUCCAGUAUUAUUCUUAGGAGAAAUAUCAGGAAUGUAGCUAGAAAUAUUCUUGUAAUCAAUGCACUUUGUGUAUAUAUAUGUGAUGGACUGUAAUACAGAAGAUACAAUAUAAUACAAUCUUUCUCUGUUAUUCUUUCCGUGUCUUCUUUUCUUCAAUUCCUUGAUCACAUGUACCAUCCCAUUUAUAGCAGCACAAUGAAGAGAAGUUCUACCAUCACUGCUUUUAAGCCUGCCAAGCUCGCUGUUAACCAUCAAUAGCUCUCUCACUAUCUCCAAAAACCCAUUUGCAGAAGCUAUGUGUAUUGGGCUAAACCCAUCUGGGUUGAGCCUUGUAGCUAAAUCUAUUUUCUUCUUCAGUAGCUCCUUCACGAAUUCUGUUCGUCCGGCUAAGCAGGAAAUAUGUAGGAUUGUCUCGGAGGAGUCAUGGAGACAACUUCUUUCUAGAAGGUAAUCGUUUACUCCGAGCAGCUCCUGUAGUUCAAUGACAUCUCCUCUCCGUGCUGCCUCCAACAAUCUUGGAUCCAUGUUAUUGAUGGAAAUAAUCGCAAACUGAGCAAAGUUAUUAAUGACUCGUGAAAAAUACCAAACAAAAAUUUAUAGAAAUGUACCUGUGAAAAAAAUGUUGUUCAAAGUUAUAAGACUAGAAUAGUGAGAAUAGAGAAGUAUAAUUUAUAUACAUGCAUUAUAAUAUCAUCAUUAUAAGAUUGCAAUUAAAGACAAUAUACAACUUUCAUAUUAAGCAUGUAAUUAAAUAAAAACAUGUAUAGGAUAUUUACUUGUAGAAAUACUUAAAAAAAUAUUUAUCUAAAAAUUUAUUGUUGUGAAUGAUUUUGUAUUGAAGAUUUUAUUACUUUCUACUAAAUACAAAAAAGUUAAUUUUAAUAAGUUUCUUAGGAUUUCAAUAAAAAUUAUAUUGUUUAAAUACACUCCUAAAUAAAAUCAAACGAACUCAAGAAUUGUAUUCAAAUAUCUCUCAUUGAAUCUAAGCUUUUGUGUAGAAAAAAAGACUAAAAAAUAACACAAAGCUUAAAACCGAGUAAAUUAUGCUAAAAAUUAAGGUGAGAGAGUAUUAAAAAAUUUACAAUUAUUUUUCUGAACACUGUCCAGAAAAAAUCAGUAAAAAACAUUAUUCUUCACUCCAUUUUUACUAAGGAUUUUUAAACGAAAAUUUAUAUAGAGUUAAUUUUAAUAAUUACCAUAAUAAUUUUUCAAAUUUGUUUUAAUUAAUGUAAGUGUCUGGAUCAGUUUAUGUAUACCUUGACUAAUUCUAAGGGUCUUGAAGUUAAUAACCAUGUAAGCCACUAGUGGUCCUGAGGGGACUCGAACUCAUGACCAUUAGAAAGCAAACCCAAGAUCUAACCAGUUGAACUAACUCUCAGGACUCAUAAUAAUUUCUCAAAAUUGAUUUUUAGAGUCAAUGUGGAGUCAUUUUUAUUGACUUGAAUUAUAAUAAACAUUUCUUAAUUAGCUAGCAUGGACUCUGAGUCAACAGUCAUUUUUAAAUUCUCAUACUUAGUGUUAGAAAAUAAUAUAAAUAAUAUCUUGGGACCUCACCUAACAACUUAAAUUUUUAGGUUGAGAUGGUUCUUUGACAUGGUAUCAAAACUUUAAUGACCAAAUGCUCACGAGUUCGACUCUCACCACCCCUAUAUAUUUGAUAAAAAUCAAACAUAAGGUAAUAUGAGCCUGUGCAAGUUUCAAGCUCAAAGGGCUUUUAUUUGAGAGGGUGUGUUAAAGAAUAAUAUAAAUCAUAUCUUUGGACCUUACCUAAUAGUUUAAGCUUUUAGGUUGAGAUAAUUUUUUGACGCCUCCUUUUAUAGGCCAAAAUUUGAAACUAUUGAUUUGAUGAAUAAUUGUUGAGUGGGUAGCCACAUCUUGACUUGGUGAAAAUCCUUAUCUUUUUGUCUGAAUAAAACAUCAUUGCUAACAUCAGAACUAGAACCAUAUGAAAUCAUGAAAGUUCUAGCAAAUUCUCUUAGCUUUCCAGGAAAAAAAAGUUGAGGUCAUUUGGACUUCUAGAACUCAAGAUAUGGGUUGAACACUUAAUAGUAUCCGGGCUGCAGGACAGAUUCAGACUUCUCCGUUGUUGCUAUAAUUUGGACUUGAAAACGGCCUUGUUAGAUCCUAGCCUCCCAUGAAAGUUGUAGGCCUAUGUCUUACCAAAUCUGUGUAAACAUUUGAGGUCAUUUGGACAUCUAGAACUCGAGAUAUGACCCAAUUACCAAACAGUGUUCCAGUUUGGACUGCACCAACAUCUCUUUUUUAAGCUUCAUCCUCUCUUUAUCUUCACAAAUUUCAAUAGUUGAAUUCAUCAAUCAAUCCUUUGAUUUAUGUGAUAUGCCUGCAUUUAAGAUGAACAUUUACCAUAUAUUAAGGUAUCUUAUAGUAUUAGACUUGUUAUUAUAAAACAUGCUUUAGUUAAGGAGUUAUUGAUACUUCAAGUACAAAAUAAUGAUAUAAAACAUUGAUAAACAUGCACUUUUAAGUACUAAUCACCAAGAAAAACAAACCCACACUAAAUCAGAAAUUAAGCAGACCAAGCUGAAAUGCAUUCAUGAUUUCUGUACAGAUCAGCAGCGGUAUACCAAAAGGAAGAGUUGAGAUUCCUGAUCCAACCUGCAACAAAGUAAAACAAAAGCCAUAUGAUAUCUUUCCAUAUUGGCUUUUGUUCCUCAAAUAUAAAGUUGUUCCUAGCAUUCCAUAUAGUCUAGACAAUGCUAAACAUAAAGCCCCCCAAACAGAUCUUUCAAACUUACAGUGGUUGCCCUGCAAAAGACCCAGCCAUUGACAUUGAAGGUCGUCAAGGCCAUACGGCAUUACCCAGCUCAGUCCUCUCCAAGCUACAAUUUUGUUCUAUAGUUUCCAAACCACUAGGCAAUGCAAGAGGAUGUGGGAUACAGUUUCUGAAUGUUGCUCAUAAAAGGACACCUGUGCUCUUGAAGGCUUAGAACGUACCUCUUCACCAUGAAGGCUUUUGUCAAAGGCCCUCAUUUAAGGCCAGCCAUAAAGUCUUUUUUUUUUUUUAGGGAAAAUGGAUUUCCAUACAUUUGUGACAUAAGUUGUAGAACUAGCAUACAUGAUCCUUUCAAGGGCAAGCAUACAAGAGUCUACAGUAUAGUCUCCGACUUUCCCCCAUUCCCAAAUUAACCUGUCUUCUUUCAAUCGAUGAAUAGCUGUAAGAUUAAGAUCAGACAUUAAUCUUUGAAUCAUCAAGGUCUCACUAGCUUUGAGGGGUCUUCUCCAUUUCAGAUUCCAAUACCAAGUAUCCUCUAACCAGUAUCCCAUCUGACUAACAAACCCUAAUUUGGAGGAGGAUAGUUGGAAGAGGGUUGGAUAAGAGUUAGCUAAGCAGAAGCCAGUCAACCAAGUAUCUAACCAAAAUUUAACAUGAUUACCAUUACCCAUUUUAAGUUUACAACCAGCUUGAAUAAGAGAAUUAUCAAGAUCCGAGCUAGUAAUAGUAGAGCUGAUUCCUCGCCAAAUCCCUAAAAGUUUUUUAUUGAAUGUGGGCUUCCCACUUAUGAAUUGAGGUCUGUAUUUUGCCUUAAUGAAAUCUACCCAACUAGCUUUAUCAUUGCUUCCCAAUUUCCAAAUCCACUUGAAGAGGAGAGCUUCUUUUUUUGCUGAUAUAUUCCCAACACCUAAACCACCCCUGUCUUUUUCUUUGCCACUGUAUCCCAAGCAAGCCGAUGAAUUUCCCUAUUAUCAACACUCCCACCCCACAAAAAUUAAGACUGCAUGGCUGUGAUUUUGCGUGCCACUGUCUUUGAAAUGUUGAAGAUGGACAUGUAAUACAGAGAAAUGAUAAAGAUUACACUUUUAAUCAAUAUUCUUCUCCCUGCUAGUGAUAAUAACCAACCCUUCCAAGAGUUGAGCCAUCCUCUAAUAUGAGAGAGAACAGUGGCAAAAGAAAAGAUGCCAUGGCCAUGUAGAGAAUCAGUCAAGUUUUGUCUUUGAUACGUUACUCACUCAAAUAUAUAUUAAUUAUCUGCCUUCUUUUUUUUAUAUCAUAAAAAGAAACCUUUCACUAAAAGAUCUUGAAGUUGAUGACAAAGAAGAUUUAACCAUACAUUGACUAAAUUAAACUAAAUUAAAAUAUGAGAAAGAUAUUUUGUAAUAAACUUUAAACCAAGAUUCCUAUAAUAUUCACAUUGUUAAUCGGUUUGACUUAAUCGAAUACAAAUGCACAUUGUUAAUUGGUUUGACUUAAUCGAAUGCAAAUUCCACGCAUGUUUUUAAGAUUCACUAUAUAUAUAUAUAUAUAUAUAUAUAUAUAUAAUCAUAGGAAAAAAGGAUGCUACCUGGUGCAUGCAUGAUGUUAUAUUUAAUGAUGUUUUUAAAAUAUUUUUUAUUUAAAAAUAUAUUAAAAUAAUAUUUUUAAAAUCAACCCAUUAAAAUUAUUUAAAAAUAUUAAAAAAUUAUUAAUUUAAUUUAUUUUUAAAAAAUAUAUAAAAAUAAAAACAAUUUUUUUCGUAUGAUUAGAAUUACCAAAGAUAAUUUGGCUUUGAACACAUGUUUGAAAAGUAUAACAAAAAUUAUUUUUUAAAGUAUUUUUUAUUUAGAAAUAUAUAUAAAAACAAUAUAUUAUUAUUAUUAUUAAAAUAAUUUUUUUUAUUUUUUAAAAUUUAAUUUUGAUAUUAGUAUAUUACAAUAAUUAAAAAUAUUAAAUAUAAUUUUAUUUUCAAACUAAAAAAAUUAAUUUUCUUUUAAAAAAAACAUGUUUCACGCAUCCAAGAAUUGAAUAUAAGUAGAUUGUGGUCCAGCUCUAACCAUAAAAAAAAAAAAAAAAAAAAAGGAGUGACGGCAGAAAAGAUGCAAGUGGGGCAGAGAAAUUGACUUCGACGGUGCAGCUUGAUUUUUGCAAAUUUUCAAAUUUUUUUUUUUACUAAAAUUAAGUUUGGUUUGUAUUUUUUGUAUCGUUUUGAUGUGCUGAUAUCAAAAAUGAUUUUUAAAAAAUAAAAAAAUAUUAUUUACAUGCUUUUCGACAUGAAAAGCAACCGCUACCACACUCUCAAACACCCUCGAAGACAAGCUAGGACAAUCACAAUGAGAAAUUGACUUGAAGUAAAACAAGGACAAUCAUAAUGGGUAUGUUUAUGUUAAAUAAUAUUUUUUUUUAAUAAAAAUAUUAAAAUUAAUUUUUUUUAUUUUAAAAAAAAUUAUUUUUAAUAUUAAUAUAUUAAAAUAAUUUAAAAUAUAUAAUAUAAAAAAAUUAAUUUUUAAAAUAUAAAAAUAAACAAAACCAAAACAAUUCAAGCUACUUAAAAAAUUUAGUAAAAAAAAAAUACUCAUAAUAUAAAUAACCACAGCCACAUUAUUCGAAUUUAAAAUAUAAAAGAAACAAAUAUUUUAAUGCUAAACUACUACUAAUAGGCUACCUACUGUAUGAUUACAAGUACAUAUUAUUUGAUAACUCCGAUUACCGUUAGUUACUGUAGAAUGAAGAAUGGUGUUCUCGUCUGGAGUCGAUAACUGAUCAAGGCAGGUUUGAUCAUUCUCAAAGCGAUCGAUAUCGCCUGCUUCUGCAGCUUUGAACAAGACAGGAUCCAUAUAGGUCGUCAUACUAUUUUGUAGCUUAGAGAAACUCACUAAAUGAAAUCUAAACAAAUGAAGGUAAGAGGUUCCACUCCUCAACUGAUCACAAGCUGCUGAUUUCUGUGGUCUGCUACAAGCGUGUUAGAUAUUGUUUUUUUUUUUUUAAAUAUUUUUUAUUUAAAAAUGAUUUUUAAUAUAUAUUAUUUAAAAAUAUUUAAAAAAUUAAUUUAAAAUCAAUUUUUUUUUUUUACGUUUUGAGCAGAAACACGAAUUAUAGUGUUUGGUUUUUUUAAAAAAAGAAGCUUAGUUUUUAAUUGUGGGGGCACACCAAAAUAUCAUUUAAUUUCAAAAUAAAAAAAAUAAAAAUUUGAAAAACAUCUUGGACUUGAAGAUAAGGAGAUUGUGGUACAGCUCUAACCAGAAGAAAAACGAGUGAAGACAGAAAAGAUGCAAGUGGGGAAGAGAAAUUGACCUCGAGGAAGACAAGGAGAUUGUGGUACUGAGUAUGUUCAUGUUCAAGAACUUCUGCAAUACACGAAGAAAAAAGGCUAAAUAAAUAUAUAAAAAUCAAAUAAGAUGUGGCACUGAAAACCUCAAUUUUUGCACUCAUUGUAGAUCAUCAUGCAAUUAUUCUCGCCCUUUCUUUCCUCAACAGACCACAUAUGGAUCUGGGAUGGUUUCUUUGAGCUUGGAACCACCUCAGGUCCUCAACUGCCAUCUCUUAAAAUGCCAUUGUGUGCUUAAAAUGUCUUUUGCCCUGCUACAAAGUUCUGCUUUACAAAAUGGAACCGAUAACAACAAAUUUUUGCUUUGUCCUUGAAAGAAAUAGAAUUUUAUUUGUUCUUCUUCAAUCAUCUAUACAAUCACUGAAUAUUUUUCGUAAUUUGGUGUAGUUACUAAUUUGAAGUCGGAGUAAAAAUGUAUUGAUGGUCAAAAAAUCAAUUCCUAAUGUUUUGAGGAGCAGAGAAAUAUGUCCUUCCGAGUACACAUUAUUAUUAUUAUUAUUAUUAUUUAUUAAGAUGUGUAUUCGGGUCAGUUUGCAUGCAUCUCGACUAAUCCAACAAAUUCUGAAAUUAACAACAAUGUAAGUUUCCAGUGAUCAUCAUAUUACCAACUAAGGGUUCGAACCUGAAACUAUAGAGAAAGUAAAUCCUUUGAUUUUAAACUCUUAUCACUACCUACUAGGUGAUUUUAAAUUAUCAGGGACACAUUAUUUGAUAACCCCGAUUACCGUUAGUUACUGUAACGUAGCUGGCUCAAGCAACCAGUUACUAGACAAAACUGCACCCAACUUGGCAUGAAUCUCUUUCCCGUGGUUUUGAAUUAUCAGGGACAAUGUGGCUUGAAGACUUGAAGAUAAGGAGAUUGUUGUCUAGCUUUAACCAUAAGAAGAAAGAGGACAGAAAAGACUCAUAAAGAUGAGUAUUGAUGAAUCCAGUUUUAAGGGUCCCAACAAACCUCUCUUGGACUUGGUCAAAGGAAGGACCUUGAGCUGAGUUAAAGAGCUGAGGUAUCAGACACUAGCCUCCAUCCACCUCCAAAAAAAGAAAAAAGAAAAUAGAUCAGAUUUUGAGAGAAAAACAAAUUCUAGCGUUUUAAGCACGCACCUUCAGCAACCAUAAAAUCAGAUCUUAUUGCAUAACUCUGAGCCAGAGGAUACAAAUUCCAAGACAAGUUGAUACAAGAAAAAGAAUAAAAUUUGUCCCAACGCCAAGAGAAAGGAAAUUUCAACCACCCCUUCUUGCUAGUCUACACUGUCACCACCUUAUACGACGGUUGUCUAUUUUGUUCUGGGUGGCAUUUUAUUUGGUUCGGAUUUUUCUGCCACUUUGAAUUUAAGAAUAUACCUGGCUGAUUUGCCUCUGAAUUUAUUGUAAUUAAUCAUCCAACUUAAUAGAUCAUCCAAUUUUAUCUUGUCUCGUAGCCUUUGUCACAUGUUCACACGGUGGAAAGUAUGAAUGCACUUGGACAAAAAUAACAGCAAAGACAAAGAACACAGGUCUGGUCCUUUUCUUUUUCCUUUCACUGCUGUCCCGUUCCCUCUGCAUUUUUGUCGACAGAGCUCAAGUUUAACGUGUCAUCCGCGGAAACGAAGACUUUCAGGUAGAAUUUGAGGUUUUUUUUUUUUUUUUUUAAUAUUUUUUAUGUUUUUAUAAAAAAACAUUAUAUUAAUGUAUUUUUUAAAACAAAUUAAAUGCUCACGAAAUACUUUUUGUCCCGUCCCGUCCCUAUGCAGUAUUGUCCAUUGAGCCCAAGUUUAAUUCUGAUGCAAUCCUGUCUCAGUUUGUUUGAGGGAGGUCCAUACUUUUAAGUGGUAGUAUAAAUCAUGGUUUCCACACUUGAUUGAGUAAAGCAGAUUGAUUUAGAGUUUAAUCGGAUUUUAAUUCGAAAUUAAAUUAGUUAAGGAGAUGAUUGUUUAACUUUUUAAAAAAAUAUUUAAACUAAGAAUCAAAUCACUACCAGAAAAUCAAUAAAUACAAACGGAAAUACCGAGGGAAUAUUUCCGUCGGUCAAUUUCUGAGGGAUUUUAUCGACGCAAAUAUUCCCUCGGUAUAUACCGAGGGAAUUACCGUGGGAAAAAAAAAUUAAAACAAAGCAAAAAAAAAUAACGACGUGUCAUUUUUUACCGACGGAUUAAUAUUCCGUCGGGAAAUCCGUUGGUAAACUGUGAACAAUGUUCAUCAUGUCAAUUACAAAGGGAAUUACCGAUGGAAUUUUCCGUCGGUAUUUUCCAGAGAACUCCAGAAUUGUUCAUCUUCCAAUUGCACUGUUAAUUGUUUUACUUUACGGACAAAGUCACCGACGGAUUGAAAAUUCGUCGGUGUGUUUUGGCGGUUUUCUGAAAAAAUUCAAUUGAUUUAAAAUUUUCAUUUAAAUAUUACAUACAGAAUCACCGACGGAUUGAAAAAUCAUCAGUAAUUUUUGGCGGUUUCUGAAAACUUUUUACGAAAUUGAAAAUUUAAAUUAAAUAUUACCGAUGGAAUUAUCGACAGAAUAAUUAAAAAAUAUUAAUAUUCAAUUAUCCGUCAGUAAAUCCAUCGGUAACGCGCCCCAAUAAAAAACCUAAAUCUGCUUAUUUCAUAAGAGACAAACUCAUUAUUUCUUUUUCUUCUUCUACUACUUUUACUUCUUCUUCUUCUUCUUCUUCUUCUUCUUCUUCACUAUAUGUAAAAAACAUCAAUAUCUAUUUCUUUCUCUUCUUUUCUCUCCUCAUCUCCUUCUCUUUUCCUCCAUGCUCGGGUAUGUCUUCUUCUUCUUUCUUCUUUUAUCCUCUUAGUUUUUUUUAAUUAAUAUGCUUUGUCGCACCCCAAAAAAAAAUACAAUCCUAUCGCGGGUUCGACUGGCGAAAUUUUUUUUAUUAUUAUUUUUAUUUGAUUUGGUUCUUUGGAGUCGCCACCUAGUAUUUUGGUCACUAGGAACCCUAACUGGUCUCAGAGAUCGGGUACGGAGACUGGUUGCGUAAAAGGAAGGUAUUAGCACCCCAAAUACGUCCUACCUAAGGUAAGCUGCAUUGUUUUAUUGUCUGAUAAAAACUAAAGUGUUAUUGUACUUCUAGUCGUUGGUCUGUCUAUGGUUCAAGAAAAAUCCUCCUCUAUAAGAAGGUCUUUUAUCUUAUCGGGUAAAAUCCUAAACGUUAUAACGUCUAUACCCAAAACUUUAUUAAUAAUAUUUAGGAAUACGUUUUACGUAUAAAUUCGUAAUCCCAAAUACUAAAAUAAAACAAAAAGAUUUUUUAGAAUUUUUUGAAAUAUUGGCCUAGUUCUCAUGGCUUGAAUAAACUGGUUAUUAAAGCCAAAAUGCAUGCUAAUACAUAUAUUGUUUUGAAAAUUUUCUUUGUUGUGUGAAAAUAUGAUGUUAUAAUAUUUAUAUAUAUAUAUUGGAGAGACUAGGCCGUAUUUUAAAACAAAAACAAUUUUUAAAAAAUAUUUUUUUUUUAUGCUUUGACGAAAAUCGGGUAUUUUAAAUACUGAGCUUGUAUCCUUACGGUAUUAAAAUACAACCCAAUAUUAAUCCACUUUGAUAAAAAUAUGCAGAAAAAUCAACAACAUUUUUAGGGAAUUUUUAGAAAAAAAUUUGAAAGCAAAAACAUUUUUUAUUCUGAAAAUCUUUGAUAUUUUGACGAAAACCGGGUAUUUUUAACACUGGUUUUGUAUCCUUAUGGUAUAAAAAUACAAACCAACAUUAAACCACUUUGACAAAAAUAUGCAUAAAAAUCAACAAUAUUUUUUAAGAUUUUUCAAAAUAUUUUUUUAUUAUUAUUAUAUUUUAUAUAUAUAUAUACAUAUAUACACACAUAUAUUAUAACAUAUUAUAAUAUAUAUAAUAUAAAAACAAUUCGGGCUGGGCCGGCCCAAAUAAACGGGCCGGACUCAGCCCAGCAAGAAUGGGGUCGAUUUCGGCCCAGAAUGGAUUGGGUCGAUAUCGGCCCAAAAAAAAAUUAUAUCUGGGCCGGACUUGGCCCAGAGAGCUUGGUAUGGGCCAGACCUGGUCUGGCCCGUCAAACACAAGGCCGGGUCUGGCCCCAAAAAAAAAAUGCUGGGCCAGGAUCCGCCUGGCCCAGCUACGCAUCAUCAGGGGGGGAAUUAUUUCCCCCCCCUGCAUGCAGAACGAACGUUCUGCAUGCAGGGAAAGCAAAUAAAAAAACUAACGAAAAGGGGGAAGAAAAGGUUACCUGGCGUGGAGGAGGCGGUGCUGCGGUGGCGCGGCGGUGGCGGUGGCGUGGCUUCGCGGACGGCGGCGUUGUGGCUGUUACCAAGCGGCGGAGAGCAAAGAUUUUUUCCUCUUCCCCUCUUCUUUUUUUGUUUUCUUUAUCUCUCUUCCUUCAAUUCUCUUUGUUUUCUGUUUUAUUUUCUUUUGUUUUCGGUUUAUUCUUUUCUCUUUUCCCUGGUCCCGUUUGUUCUCUCUCUCUCUUCGGUCUCCUCUCUCUCUCCUCCCUUCGGUUUCUUCUUUUGUUCUGUUUUUUUUCGUCCCCCUCGGUGUGCUGGGUUGGGCGUUAUUUAUAGAACCCGUGGGCGUGGCCUCAAUGGCGGUAGUUGUUCUGAAAAAGGUCUGUUAAAGUUUAUGUGGGCCACAUGAUAGGUAGGUAUUUGUGGGUUAUAUGAAUCCAUUAUCUUGUCAUUGGACCCACCUUCGAAGUUGUUAACGGGACCUUUCAAUUUUCUUCCGAAAAAACCCUUUGUCUCCAAUGGCUCAAUUAUGCGUCCAGCUUUAAUCCCUUGCUCUAUUCUUUCCGCUAUGCGUACAACAUCAUAGAAAUGUUGAGAUGAGCUACCCAUUAAAUGCUCAUAGUAGGGUGCCUUGAAUGUGUUGGCGAACAAAGUCACCAUCUCCGUUUCUAUCAAAGGGGGUUGCACAUGCAUGGCCUCGUCCCUCCAUCUUUGCGCAUAAGCCCUUACUGAUUCUUGGCUUCUCUUUUCCAUUGACAUAAGGCUCGUUCGAUCUGGAGCAAUUUCCAAAUUGAACUUGUAUUGCUUAAGGAAAGCCUCAACUAAAUCCUUCCAUUUCUUGAUCUUGGCAUUAUCCAGCCUCAUGUACCAACUUAGCGCCGACCCCGAUAGACUGUCUUGGAAAAAGUAGAUCAGUAACUUAUCGUCAUGAAUCACCUCAGCCAUCUUAUUGCAAUAAGAUCGAAGGUGAGUGUUUGGGCAUUCCAACCCAGUGUACUUUAUAAACUCCGGUAUCCUAAAUUUUUGGUACCGUGAUGUUUGGUACCAAGCAUAUUUCAGACGCUCGCAUGGGGUCAAACCAGUCAUUUCCCUCGACUGCUCUUAACCUUUCUUCCAAGGCUGAUAUCUUGUCAUCGUUCAUAAAUCCAGUGGACCUAUUAUCGGAAGGCCCAUCUGCACACAGUGAUGAGCUUGAGGGGGCUGAAUGGGAAUGGCAGGUGCAAAGUGCUGCCCCGUCACUGAAUCUGCCCCCAAGUUCUGAGAUACCCCCGGGACAUGAACUGACGGUGCUCCUAUAGGUGGUUGGGUAGACGUUCCCUCCCCGUUCUUGGCUCUUAAAAGUUGCUCAAGCAGAUUGGUCAGUCGAGAAACUUCAUUUUUCACGAUUCCAACUCGGUCUGGUAGUGCGACUCUAAUGAGCUCUUUCUUCGUUUUCCAUUCUUGAUCUGGACCGGGUUUGGUGGACUCUGGAUGUGGACCUAUGUUUCACGAUCUGGAAUGCAUAUGAUAAAAAAAUACUGUGAUGAAAAUGUGAUGCAUAAGUGAUGCGAUGAGUAUAAUAUUGCAAAAAAGAUACAUAACCUAAGGACAAGCUCUAUUUAUUAAGUGAGAGUGGGUAGAUUUUCUAUCUAGUCUUGAAGGUUCUCAUAUCUGCCCAGUGACGUUCUUCGUAAAGACAGUAUGGGGGCGUUGCAAGGAACAGUUAAGACACGUAUGUCCACCAUUACCAAGCAGGCACUCAGAUAUGAGUUGGGUGUUUCACGCAUUUAAACCCUGACCAAUAGUCUUAGGGUAAAUCGCUAAUUCCCCACUUAACUUAAGGCUUGUGUGUGCUUUUCAAAAUAAAAGCAAGUGAUGCAUGAGACAAUUUUAUACAAUGCAUGAAUAAUAUGCGUAAAAUAAAAAUAAAUAUGCAAAUAAAAGGAAAGGCAUAUUAACAAUAAACACAUAAAAACACAAACAAAUCAGACAAAAACAAAACUUAGUCUACAAGGUCCCUAGUGGAGUCGCCAUUCUGUCGCACCCAAAAAAAAAAUACAAUCCUAUCGCGGGUUCGACUGGCGAAAUUUUUUUUUUAUUUAUUUUUAUUUGAUUUGGUUCUUUGGAGUCGCCACCUAGUAUUUUGGUCACUAGGAACCCUAACUAGUCUCAGAGAUCGGGUACGGAGACUGGUUGCGUAAAAGGAAGGUAUUAGCACCCCAAAUACGCCCUACCUAAGGUAAGCUGCAUUGUUUUAUUGUCUGAUAAAAAACUAAAGUGUUAUUGUGUUCCUAGUUGUUGGUCUGUCUAUGGUUCAAGAAAAAUCCUCCUCGUAAGAAGGUCUUUAUCUUAUCGGGUAAAAUCCUAACCGUUCUAACGUCCAUACCAAAAUUUAUUAAUAAUAUUUAGGAAUACGUUUUACGUAUAAAUUCGUAAUCCCAAAUACUAAAAUAAAACAAAAAGAUUUUUUAGAAUUUUUUGAAAUAUUGGCCUAGUUCUCAUGGCUUGAAUAAACUGGUUAUUAAAGCCAAAAUGCAUGUUAAUACAUAUAUUGUUUUGAAAAUUUUCUUUGUUGUGUGAAAAUAUGAUGUUAUAAUAUUUAUAUAUAUAUAUUGGAGAGACUAGGCCGUAUUUUAAAACAAAAACAAUUUUUAAAAAAUAUUAUUUUUUUUAUGCUUUGACGAAAAUCGGGUAUUUUAAAUACUGAGCUUGUAUCCUUACGGUAUAAAAAUACAACCCAAUAUUAAUCCACUUUGAUAAAAAUAUGCAGAAAAAUCAACAACAUUUUUAGGGAAUUUUUAGAAAUUUUUUGAAAGCAAAAACAUUUUUUAUUCUGAAAAUCUUUGAUAUUUUGACGAAAACCGGGUAUUUUUAACACUGGUUUUGUAUCCUUACGGUAUAAAAAUACAAACCAACAUUAAACCACUUUGACAAAAAUAUGCAUAAAAAUCAACAAUAUUUUUUAAGAUUUUUCAAAAUAGUUUUUUAUUAUUAUUAUAUUUUAUAUAUAUAUACAUAUAUACACACAUAUAUUAUAACAUAUUAUAAUAUAUAUAAUAUAUAAUAUAAAAACAAUUCGGGCUGGGCCGGCCCAAAUAAACGGGUCGGACUCAGCCCAGCAAGAAUGGGGUCGAUUUCGGCCCAGAAUGGAUUGGGUCGAUAUCGGCCCAAAAAAAAAUACAUUUGGGCCGGACUUGGCCCAGAGAGCUUGGUAUGGGCCAGACCUGGUCUGGCCCGUCAAACACAAGAGUCUGGCCCCAAAAAAAAAUGCUGGGCCAGGAUCCGCCUGGCCCAUCUACGCAUCAUCAGGGGGGGAAUUAUUUCCCCCCCCUGCAUGCAGAACGAACGUUCUGCAUGCAGGGAAAGCAAAUAAAAAAACUAACGAAAAGGGGGAAGAAGAGGUUACCUGGCGUGGAGGAGGCGGUGCUGCGGUGGCGUGGCUUCGCGGACGGCGGCGCUGUGGCUGUUCCCAAGCGGCGGAGAGAAAAGAUUUUUUCCUCUUCCCCUCUUCUUUUUUUGUUUUCGGUCUUUAUCUCUCUUCCUUCAAUUCUCUUUGUUUUCUGUUUUAUUUUCUUUUGUUUUCGGUUUAUUCUUUUCUCUUUUCCCUGGUCCCGUUUGUUCUCUCUCUCUAUUCGGUCUCCUCUCUCUCUCCUCCCUUCGGUUUCUUAUUUUGUUCUGUUUUUUUUCGUCCCCCUCGGUGUGCUGGGUUGGGCGUUAUUUAUAGAACCCGUGGGCGUGGCCUCAACGUGGAGCCCAGGAGCGGGUCGAGGAGCGGCUGUCCGGGCGGGCCUCCCUCGGCUUCGGCGACGCGGCGGGUGGUCGGCCAUGGUCUUCUGUCGGUGGCCCACCGGCGUAGGGCCUCGGUCGGUGGCAAGAGGGACCUGCAAAGAAAUAAAAAAAAAAUGCAAACUUUUCCUUCUUCCCCGCUGUAAUGUUCGGGGGGAAGAAGAAAGUGAACAGUGCCGUUCAAAACUGCACCGUUUGGUCUCUUUUUUUUUUUUUUUAAUUUAUUUAUGCAUGAAACGGCGUCGUUUUGGAUAAAACGCGCCGUUUCAUUUUAAAAUAAAGGCGCCAGAAACUUUGUUUUGAAUCAGUCCCUAAUUUGUCAUUUGUUCUAUUAAGUCCUUCAAUCGAGUCCUUCAAUCAAGAAUAAAAGUCAAUUGCGUCCCUGCCAAAUUUAGUCCCUACCCCUAUAGUUGGCCGCGUUUUUCACUUUGGUCCUUGGCCUAUGAUUUUUACAAUUAAGCCCCCUAAUUGAUCAAUAAACUUCCAAUUUUUUCAAUUAAGCCCCUGAAACAAUUCCAAACAGCCCCCUUUAUCUUUGCGUCUUCUCCAAAUUGGUCCCUGGUUUCGGAUUUUCAUAAUUAAGUCCUUAAUUGGCCAUUAAACUUCAAUAUUUAUGCAAUUAAGCCCCUGAUUUGACCCAAUAAAUUCCUAAAAAAUAUAUUUUGGCCCCAGAACUUAAAUUUCUUCAAAUUAAAGCCCAAAUUGACUUAAAAAUCAAUUUUUCUUGCAAUCAAAUCUUCUAUAAAUUCAAAUAAAAAUCCAAUUAAGUCCAUAAACAUCCAAAUUUGGGUUUUUCUCCUCACAAUUCAAAUUUUCCUUCUCAAUAGGGCUUUCAUCCUUCAAGAAUAUACUGUAAAAAAUUCAAUCCUUGUAUUUUUAAAUUCCUUGACCAAUUUUCUGACUGUUUCCUGAGCGCUUCUGCCUCCUGUUAUUUUUUCUAAACUCUUUUGGCUAUUUAUUUUAUUUUUUAUGGGGACCCAAAAAUGGGUUACAACAUGCUUUACGAAUUUUGUUUUCCUUAGCUUCACUUGCAAGUAUAUUAAGGUAAGAUUUUUCUUUUUUCUUAUUGUUUCAUGAUUUUUUUCACUAUAUUUGUUUUUUAUUUAAUUUUAAUUGAUUUUGUUCAUAAUAAUUGUAUAAAUGUUGUUGUGAGAUUUUUUUUUUCAUAUGAGAUCAAUUUUUAAUUGAUUUAUUUAUAGGAUUCUUAAAUUUUUAGCAAUUGCAACUUCAUUUUUUUCAUAUGAAUUUUUUUAGUUGAAUUAAUUUUUUUGUUUUAUUUAUUUGUUGCAAAUUUAUUUGAGUUGAUUUUCUUCUUUUUUUUUCCAAGCAUUUUGAGUAUAUAAUUUUGAUUUAUGUUAAUUUAAUUAUUUUAUAAUUUUAUAAAACGAUUUUUUUAAAAUGUUUUUAAAUCAUUACCGACGGAUUUACCGACGCGUCUGUUCCGCCAGUAAAUCCGUCGGUAAUAUUAUUACCAACGGACAAAAAAUUACCGACAAAAAAUUCACCGACAGAAAUUUUCCGUCGGUGAUUUCGUUGGUAAAUUAAUUACCGAUGGAAUAUGUGUCUUACGCCGACGGAAAAAUUCCGUCGGUAAAACUGUUAAAUCUUGUAGUGAAUCUUGAUAUAGCUUCUGUUUUAAAUAAAAAUGCUUUGUCAACACCUUAUAUCAACACAUUUGAUAGAAACUGAUUUUAAUAUUAUAUAAUUUCACCACUACUGUAUAAUAUAAUCAAAGACUAAGGUGAAAUUCUUACAUGUUGUAACUCAAUUUUGACCAAUUGACUUUUUAAUUUAAUUUUAUAGGGUUUAAAAUGUAAAAUUAAAAUAUCAAAGAUAUAUUUUGAUGAAAAAUAUGAUUUGUCAACUUGCAUGAAACAAGCUAACUAGCGGGCACAAAACAGCCAAUGAAGGAUGUUGUUCAAGAUGCGGUCUGAAUCGUGUUUUUUUUAAAAAAACAAUUAAUUAAAAAUAAUUUUUUAAAUAUUUUUAGAUCGUUUUGAUGGUUGAUGUUAAAAAUAAUUUUAAAAAAUAAAAAAAAAUUAUUUUGAUACAUUUUUAAAUAAAUCACUUUAAACUUUCACCGCUAUGAAACUUGGCAUAUCCCACUUUUCAUAGUAGUUUUCUUACAAUAUUUUGAGAUUAUUGUAAAGUGUUUUUUAAAAUAUUUUUUUAUUUAAAAAUAUAUUAUGAUAUUUUUUUUUUGUAAGAAUUUAUUUUUAAUAUUAAUAUAUUAAAACAAUUUAAAAUUAUAAAAAAGUUAAUUAAUUUUUUUUAAAAAAAUUCAAUAAUACUUUCUAAACACAAAAACAAAUACUUUACAAGUACAAACUUGAUUAAUAAACAAACCAUCCAAGCAAAUUGUACUUGGAAAAUAAAUGUAUCUGUCCCAACUAGUAGUUGUGUCUAUAUCCUUGUAAAUGAGCCUAAGACUAAAUACAGAAGGAAGAAGAAGAUCAAACCAAUGAGACAACUAAUGUUGAAAACAAGCCCUACUGAAGGUACUAGAACUGCGUAUGUGCGAAUGCGAUAAUCAUUGUCCCCAUGCCAAUUAUGGUUAACAACAUUGCAACCGCAAAUAAUCUUAGAGUGGUUUUCAAAUUCAUUUCUUCACCCUUAUUCAUUUCCAAAUCUUGAAUCAACACCGUCAAAAAAAUGAAUAAUUAGAUACAACAGAAAUAGAGAGCAUCAUUGACAUUGCAUCUAAUAUGACAAAUACUAUAAAAAUAGCUUUUUUUAGCUAGAAUUGCAAUGCCUCCGUCACUCUUGUAACUGCCAGGUAGGAUGAAUGGUGCUACAAAUAUUAAUGUUGCUAUCAAUGUUGUAACUACUAGAUGAGACUCUCUUGCUUUACUUAAAUCAUCCUCUUCCUCUUUGUUUUCCUCCUUCUCUUUUCUCAAAACAAAGCGCCGGACCAAAUGGUCCCCUGCCAACAUCAUCAAAGGAUUCUAGGAUCGUUUUCUGCAAAAUAUUUAGGGUAAAAUAUCAUAGAUAUCUAUUAUUUUUUUCUAUUUAAUUAUCAGAUUAUUUAAAUUUUAAUUAAUUGUAUUUUUUCAUUCAAUUGUACUGCUUUUUGUUUUUUUAUUGAAUAAUAUGUUUUUAUAAAGUAGUUACAUGCGAUUGAUAUGCAUAAUUUAUUAUCGUAGAUGAAAAACUUAACAAAAUCAAUAAAAUAACUUGAUUUCAAAUAAAAAAGAUUAUUAAGUUAUUUAGAUGAAUUCAUUUUUAUGUUUGGUAUUGCAGUACGAAUGGUUUUUAAAAAGAAAAUCUUUCUUGAAAAUUAAGUUAAUUUUUUCUUUGACUGGAAAAUAUUUUUUAUUGACCAACUUUUUAAAUAGCAAACAAACACAGUAAAGUUUGAAAAGUAAUUUUUAAAAAAAUAAUUAAAAUAAUAUAUCAGCAUGUUAAAAUGAUUUAAAAACAUUAAAUAUAAUUUAAUUUCAAACUUUAAAAAAAUUGAAAUUUAAAAAAAACAUGCUUCACACAUCUUAAGACUUGAAGAUAAGAAGAUUAUGGUCCAGCUCUAACCAUAAGAAAAACGAGUGAAGACAGAAAAGAUGCAAGUGGAGCAGAGAUAUUUAAAUUGUUUGUGAAACUUCUAGAAUCAUUUUUAUUCUAAUCUCUCACAGAACUCAGACAGCUUCCUCUGCUUUAUUUAUUUAUUUAUUCAUAUUGAUGAAUUGGUAUAAAUAGGCUUACAAGCCUAGCUAGUAAAUGGAAAUAGCCAAAAUAGUUACUUCUAUCAACAACCAUUUUCAACAAACAAACAGUCAUACAAGAUGAAUUCCUUUGAUCAACAAAUGAAUAGCAUCACUUACAUGGAAACAAAAUUGUACGAAGCUGCAGAAGCAGGCAACAUCAACCCAUUUAAGGAUCGUCUUCCAACUUCUCUCAUUGAGCUAUUGACUCCACAAAAAAACACAAUUCUUCAUGUUUACUUCGAAAACCAACGUAGAGGAUGGAGAUCCACUGAUUUUGUUGGCCAAAUUAUUGAUAUGUGUCCACAACUGCUAUUGCAAGCCAAUACUAAAGGCGAAACCCCACUCCAUUUUGCGGCAAGAUAUGGGCGUUCCAAUGCAGUGGAAGUCCUCAUUGACCGCGCAGAAGCUCGACCUACUGAUCCAGAGAGCGGAGUAACAGAAGCAAAAAAGAUGUUGAGGAUGACCAAUGAAGAGCAAGAUACAGCGUUGCAUGUGGCAGCUCGAAAUAUCCAAGCCCAAGUGGUGGAAAUAUUGACAAAAGAGGACCCUGAGUUUUCAUAUUCCGCCAAUGUUCAUGGAGAAUCUCCACUUUAUAUUGCUGCCAAUAUGAGGUUUGUGAACAUUUUUUUAGUCUCAAACAGAGUUUGAUACCGAUUCGAUACUAUAUGUGACCAACAUCUUUUUUUUUUCUUUUAAUAUAUACUAGAUUAAUCAAUUUUUUACUAAUCUAUUUAUCAAUCUAGAAUACUAUCGUUUUAAGAUUAUAUAAAUGUAAUUGUUGCAUGAUUAAUUUUAAUUUGUUCAGCUUUAUAAUGUUUAAGUAAAUCUGUUUUUAAAAUUAUCAUAAGAGAUAUUAGAAAAGCAAUGCUUCUAUAAUAAUAGGAUUUUACCUGGUUAUUUUUUUAUGCUAUGUAUGUUCUUGAACUCGAGACAUAUUAAUUCAAUAUGAAUAAGUUCACUUAUCUCCCUAAUUGUUUUUUAAGAACAAUAAAAAAUAGCAAAAUUUAAUGGUUUUUAAUUCUGUUUUAUUGGACUUAAAAUCUUGCUACAUAAGUAUUUAUUGGACUUAAAAUGUUAAUAAAAAUCACAUAUAUCUAAUUAUGAUUAUAUUGCUGCCAAUGUAAGGUUUAAUUGGAUGUUUAAAAGACAUGAAGAAAAUAGAAAAAAAGUGAUCGACGAAAUCUUGAGUAAUUGCAAGUCAGUGGAAUAUUGUGGUUCUCAUGGCAGAACCGCACUACACGCGGCAGCCAUGCAUGGUGAUCAUGGUAAGAUUUUAUUCUGAACUGUAAAUCCUUGAAUUCAUAAAUUAUUAUCGGAAACCAUAACUGUGAGAAGUGUGUUCUUAUCUUAAAUUAUUUCUUAUCUGUUUGCCAUUUUAUUGUACUCAUUUAUUUUAUGUUUCUUAAAAAAAAUCUUAUUUUAACCUUUAGGAUAUUGUUCUUUUCAUUGUUCAUUUGUCAAAUUCUUCGUUUACUCUAUCACAUUAAUAUUUGAUAUAUAUAGAAGUUAAUAAAGGGGUAAAAAACAAAAAUAUUCAUUUUAUGUUUGUUAAAUUAAAGGUUAAAUUGUAUUUAUUACUUACAUAAUUCUUUGGAAGAUAUAUACAAGGUAAAGAAAAUACAUAUUAAGAAGACAAUGAAUUUCCUAGUCUAUUUAAUUAAGGACUUAUUUGCAUGAUUAUAUAUAAGAUUUUAGGACCAAAUUGUUCUUAUAUACGUUUGUAUGUAAGGAAUCUAUAUGACAUGUAUGUGUGGGCGAAUCAUUUCCAUAUUAUUAUUGAACAUAAAAAAACGUAGAAAGAUAUUAAAAAAAUGAUGCAUAAACAAUAUUGAAUAGCGACUAUAAGAACCCAAGAACGUAGAAAGCAAGAAAGGGCAUUUAUAAUACAAUUAAAGAGAGAAAAAUGCCAAAUUAAAUAUUAACUUAUCACUAAAUUAGUAGCGUAGAUUACGCAUUAACCAUAAUAUUAUUCAUAUAUUACCUAAUAUGUACCAUAUUUUUUUUAUGGUUUAUUGCAGAGACAGCAAGAAAGAUAUUAAAAAGCGACGCGAGUUUGACGAGAAGAACCGACGAUGACGGGUGGUCACCACUUCACUACGCUGCCUUUUUCCCUACUUUAUUGCCAGGUUCUCUAACAGUAAAAGUAUUACUAGAACAUGAUGUGUCCGCAGCCUACAUUGUUGAUUCAGAGAAGAGAACAGCCCUUCACUUGGCCGUCGUUCGAGGCAAUGGGGCAGCAGUGGGAGCGAUUAUGAACGCUUGUCCAGCUUGUUGUGAACUAGUGGAUAGCGGAGGUCGGAAUGUCCUUCACUAUGCUGCCUUAACUCUAAAAGGAGCACUUACAUCUAUGUCUUUCCCUCGAUUGAUUCCUAAAUUUGACAAACUUAUAUACGAGAAGGAUAACAAUGGAAACACACCAUUGCAUCUAUUUGCUGCUUUCGGCAGUUAUCCCCAGAAGUUUCUGAGUAGUGAUUGUAGACAUGUGUACAAGAAGAUGUGUGGCCUUAACAAGCAAAACCUCAGCAUUGAUGACAUCUUGGAACGAAAUUUUCCUGAAGAAAAGGUAAUUCCCUCUAUUUGAUUUUUUAACGAGUCGCACUCGUACACGCGAAAAAGUCUUUGCAUUUGAAAAAGCUCGCUAACUUACCAAAAAAAAUUAAAUUUAAAUUGUCAGAGGAAUGAUGUAAGAUUAUUUUCAUAACUAUCAAAGGACGCAUCAAGAGAAUUUAUAAUAUUCAUUCAAUCUUGUUAAAGAAAAAAAAACUUCAACUCUAACAAUAAAUACGUAUGCACCUUUAAUAAAUCACAUCAAUCAAACAUAAAUUCACUUCGUUAUUCUCUUUUUUUAAAAAAAAUAGAAUAAAAAUAGAAUAGAAAUCCUUUUGUCAAUAUAACAAAAUUAUACCUUCAACAUCAACACUUAUAAUUGAUUAACACUAUUUGCUUUGUCCCUAGACUGAUGUUGGUUUCUUUAUUUGUUUGUUUUAAGAUGUGUUUGAUAUUAUGGUAUAAAAUAUUUUUAAAAAUUAUUUUUGUUUUGAAAAUAUAUUAAAAUAAUUUUUUAAUUUUUAACAUUAAAAAAAUACUAAAAAGUUUCAUUUGAUUUUUUUUUCCAGCGAGACACUUUUAAAUCAUACCUAAAAACAGUUUAAAAUUAAAAAACAAACAGCCCUCUCGUAGCAACAAAAGCAUUAUAUAUUGUUGCUAGCUAAAAGAAACAAAAUUACUUGAUUUCAAACUCGCUGGUUAUGAUAUCAAACAAAGGUUGAGAGUCUACAGAUGAUAAAGGAAAAGAAAGAUUCGUUUAAUUUCAUUGCCGAAACUUGUUGCAGAAAGAGAUUUUGGAAUCAUUGAAAGAUGUACGGAGUGGACUGCUUCAACGGCCCAUAGCUAUGCUGACACUAGACGACUUCUUUUAUUACCGACAGUGGAAUGGACGCUCUUAUAGUUGUAGCGGCACUCGUAGCAACAGUAACAUUUGCAGCUGCUUUCACGAUGCCUGGCGGUUACAAGAACGAAAAAGGCACUCCAGUUCUUCUUAAAAAUACUGCUUUUGCAGUCUUUGUUAUAUCAGAUGCAGUAGCAAUGGUUCUCUCAACUUCUGCUCUCUUCAUGCACUUUUCUAGGGCACUGCUUGGAAAAAGAGGUCAAGUGGAAGACGAUAUAAAAGAAACCUUCUCUUAUAGGACAUCUACUUUAACCAUAUGUGCCAUCCCAGCAAUGGUCAUCGCAUUCAUCACAGGAAGUUAUGCAGUGCUAGCUCCAUCAUUAUGGCUUGCAAUCACGACUUGUUUCAUUGGUGUAGCCUUCUUCUUCUUUGCGUGCCAGGCAUUCAUAGUUCAAUUCCGCACCCUCAUAAAAUACUGAAAAUAAACACUUCACAGCAGACUUUAAAAGAGUCUGAUAUUGAAGAAGAUUGAUUCUCAUUUAGCUCGUGUUAUAAACUAUCUUCUCGUCAUCUUCUUGAUGGCAUCAACUGUAACGUUGGCUUUAUUUAUCAAUAUAUUUCACCUUGCUUUUCACGAGUACAAUGAUCGAAAAAUUCAAUUUUGGCACUUGGGAAAUGCUAACAUCUUCAAUAUAGAGAUCAUAGAAUGACGGCUCACAAGUUCACCAUUAAUUCUAGAUGAAUAGUAACUGAGCCAUAAUUUUCGAAGGACUUGAAUUUCUAAUAUAUUAGAAUUUCCAUUAAUUGCUGAAUGGUCAUUUGGACUUCAAUUUCUACACAUUGCAACUUCAUUCACAAGAACGACAAAAAAGCACAUAAACAUUUUGAGAAAUUAAUAAAUGAUGUAAUGCUAUUAUUUAACUCCGAUCUGGUGGGUUAUGAAGGAGAUGAAGCUGAUGACAACACACAAUGUUGAGUUUUUCAGACCCUAAUUCCACUUACAAGGUGUAAAAAAUGUAGUUAAAACUCAAUUUGAAUAACAAAGAUAAAAAAAAAAAAAUCAAAUUAUUUUUAUGUUUAUUAAAAUUAGACAAGAAAUGAGUAAAAACAAAUUAGAAAACUUGAUUCAAUCAAAAAUUAAAAUUAACUUAUAAUCAAGUCAACCCGAGAUAAAACACAAUUAAAAAAAUUUUAAUUUUUUUUUGAUAACAAGAUUGGUUUAAUUUAUUUUUAUUUUAUAUCAAUUUAAAUUGAUCAUCUUGUCUCAUGACUAGGCUAGACCUAGAUUAGAUUUUAAAACAAUUAUAAUAAUUAUUUUUAUUCAUGUAUUAAUUAAAUUAAUCCUAGUUAAUCUUCCUAACACAUCUCGCCUUAGGUCAUCACUUAUAUUAAGUUUUAAGCUAUGAAAAUAAUUAUUUUUAUUUUUAUAUUAACCCAAAUUAAUGAUUAACAUAUGAUUUAUGACUCAAACUUUGCCUUGAGUGAAUUAUUAUUUAAAUUUAAAAAUUAUGAUAAUAAUUAUUUUUAAUUUUUAUUAACACAGAUAACCUAAGUUUUUUUUUUUUUUUAGAAAAUUUAACGAUGUUGUUCUACUCCUUUUAAUAAACAAAUAUUUCUUCACUGGAAUGGCCUUGAUAGAACAAAAAAUAAAUACUCCAAAAAACUUCACAAAAAGAUUAUACCGUCCAAUCCAUUUUUACAGCAUAUCAAACACUACAUAAAUUUCAAAAUCAAAUUACCUCAGUUAAAUCCAUUAAUAUCAUCGUAAUGUAGCUUCCACCAAGUAGGUUCUCCCUGAUAAACAGGGACAUGGCUCCACUACACCUUCAACAAAUUGGAUUAUAUCAUCAUAGGCAAUCUUACAUUACAAUUUUGCUCAAACCAAAAAUUACCAUAGCCAACUCUCAAAAACCUUAAACCUCCUACAUAUUACUUUAACAUUAAAAAUAGAUAUACAAGGAAUUCAUGAAUGGAUGCAAUGUAAUAAGCUAUUCAAACUAUUUUGUAUCUAUAAAUUAAAUGGAUCAGAGUUAUAACAGCUCUAUCAAUCAAGAAUUUUCAGUAGCAGAACUGGCAUUAAAGCUGUCUAUUAAUCAUCAUUGCCAAAAAUUUAUGGAAAAAAGCAUAACUUUAAUCACAGAGCAAACAGAACCUAAGAUCGAUCAAUAAAACGAAAACUUGAUGAAUCCAAUCAAAACUUGAUUUAUCUCUUUGCUUCAUUGAUUUCUCUCAGAAUAGCGAUAAAUCCAAUCUAAUAAUCGCCAACAAAUUCAAUAACAUAAAACAAUCAAAACUUGAUGAAUUUGGAGGGAUUUUUUUGAGGCAAAACCAUUGACACAAAGGGCAUAAGCCCCACGUGAACACCACCAAAAAAGACUCAAUCCUUGCCCCAGUGACUAGCUUAAUUUCCACCAUAGUUCUCAAAAAAACAAGCUAGGGGUACAGAGAGGCAGCAAAAAAACACAUACCCAGAUGAAAAAAAUGAGAAAUUUUUAAAAAAUGAGAGAUGUAGUCGUUGAUUUGACACAGAUAAGCCAUGGAAAAAGGUACAAGAGGCUAAACUGCAACACUGAACGGCAGGAUUUUUUAGCACGAGCAUUGGAGCUUUCUACUUCAGUGAAUGGUAACAAGUGAUGCCUAGGAGGCAUUAUUCAUAGAGAAUUUUGUUAAAAGAAAAGGUUUUGAAAGGAUUUGCGAUGAAAACAGGGUUUUUGGAGACGUGGAGCCUGCUAAUGGAGAGAAACAGAGUUGUCAAUAAGUUAUAUAGAGGCUGUAAAGAGCUAUAAAACCCUAGUUUUGUUAUCUGAGGAGGUAUUUUGUGUUUUUUGGGUUACGAGGCUGCGCUUGUUUUUCACAUAUUUUUGUAUUUACAAUAAAACAAAUAUAAUAAGAUAUUAUAUUUGAUAGUAUGAUUUCAUUAAAAAAUUAAAUUUGAAAAAAGUUUGUGUAUAGUUUUUACAUGUUUUUUAAUUUAGUUUUGUAAAAUUUUAUUUAUUUUUACAUUUCAAGAGCUUUUAAAAAAAUUAAAUUUUUUUUUAUUAUUUUUACUUCAAAUUGAUAUAUUUUAUGAUGUUUUUAAAUCAUUUUAAUGUGCUCUAAUUUGUUUCGGGAGUUCAAGGUAUUGAUAUUUGAAGUUUAUUUUUUAUUUUUUAUCUUUAAUUACUUGAUAAUUUUAACGAACAUAAAUUUUAAUUUUUUGAUCUAAAAAAUCAAUAACAAAAUAAUCCUUCUUUUUCAUUCUUCCAAAAAUAGGUUUAUUAGGUUUAGGGCUGGAUUUGGGGUCAUCCAUUUCAAAACCAAAAUAUCAUGAAAAAUAAAAUAAAUUAUUAUAUAUUUUAUCUAUGUUGAAAAAAUAUUUUAGCUCUUUUUUUUAAUUUUUUGAUAUAAUUAUUUUGGUUUUAGUGGUUAUUGUUAAGAUUUCUAAAUUUGGUAAAAUAUUUUUUGGACUAGAUUUUAUAUAUUAUAACUAAAUUUAUUUUCAAUUAGAUUUUAAAUAAAUCAUUUAUAUCGAAAUCGAUGUAUAUCAUAAAAAAAUAAUAUAAAGAAUCAUUGAUAUUUUUAAAUAUUUUUAUAUAGUUUAUUGCCUCUGUUUCUUUAAAUAAUUUGUUUUUAUUAUCGUUGACACCUUUCUUUUCUUAUUUUACUAUUGUUAUUCCGGCUACAGUUACUAACAAUAACAUUAAGAAUUAAGGGAAAAUCACGUACUUGCACUGUUAAUGUAAAUAACACAAGCAGGUCCUUUUUUUUUCUUUUUUAAUUUAAAUUUCAUUACUCAAUAAUAAUUAUUCUUUAUAAUUUAUUUUGGUUUGUUUUUUUAUAAGGUUAUUAUAUUUUCAAACAAAUAAAUUGUUAUUUGAUUGGUUCUUAAUUUUAUAACCAUUUAAUUUUAUUAUCAUAAAAUUAAGUAAAAUUUAGUUUCAAAAAACAAAAUUAUUAAAUUUAGUGAAGUUUAUAACUCGGGUUGCGGAUUUAGUGGGUUAAGCCGCAACGCUUAAAAUAUUGUUGUCUCAAUAUUAAAAAAAAAUAUCAUAUUGAAUUUUUUUUUAAACCAAUCCAUAUUUUUACCGGUUAUUUCAUAGUCUUUAGAUUCAUCAAAUAGAUUAGGUCACAUUGAGGCAAAAAAAGUAUAAAUAACAAAGUUAUUAUACCUCGAGGAGUCCAUAACUUGGAUAGCGAGUUUUAAGGGUUAAACUAAAAAGCUCGGGUCGGUUUAAUAUGUUAUAUUUUAAUAUUUAAAAAAUAAAAAUUAUUUUAAAUAUUUUUUAAAAUUAAAUUAUAUUUUUACCGGUUAUCUAAGUUACUUUUCAAAUCGACAACUUUUAACUAAAUUAUGACUUGAUCCAUCCUUUAUAGAAGUACACAGACAUCUUAGGAUUCCUCCUAAGUUUAGUCACAAAAAAAAAAAAUUCAAAUUAAGAAUAAAUUGUAUUCCAUUGUCCGCAGGAGUAUAAAUUACGAACGACUAAAUAAAAAAAAAAUCUCAUUUUUCUUGUUUUAUUUUAUAUCCUUGGUUUUAAAAUACUUUGAAAUCCAAUUCAAGGAACAAAAGAAAAUAAAUGAAAAGAUACAUUCAUCUAGGUGCUUGCAACAACUUGUCCGAAUAAAUUAAUGAAAUAAAAAUUCUUCAAAAAGAAAGAGAAAAUUAAAUGUCUUCUCAAACUAAAUGUUUACUUAUAAAUGUAAAGUAAAUAAAACAAUAAAUCAAUAAUUGAAUAAAGGGUUAUUACAUAAUAUUUGUCCAGCUUGAUUGUCAUUCGAAGUAAAGUCUGCUUUAGAUGCCACCUUGUUUGGUUUACCUCCUUUAUAUCAUCAGCACUCUAGGGUGCUUGAUCUAACUUUAAAAGUUAUUCCUUUGGACUUAAUUUCGUCAUAUGUAUUAUAUUUCUUAUCAUAACUUAAUUUUUAAAUAAAUAAUAAAAAAUAUAUAUAUAGUUGAAAAUGAGGGUAAGACAACACAAAUUCAAAUUUCAGAGAUGAAAUUAUCAAAUUUAAGAGUUAAUUGGUCAGAAAUUAAAGAAUUAAUAAGUUUGAGAAUUUAAUUAAAAUUUUAAUUAGUUUAAUUAAUGAAAUCAAGAGUUUAAUUGGAGAAUAAAUAAGUUUGCAGACUUAAUUAAACUUUGAUUUAAUAAAUUAAAUAAAUUCAGGGAUUUAAUUAAAAUUAAUCCAAGGGGCAAAAUUAAAAUUUGUUGAUUAAGGGACCCUAUUGAUACAUUUCAAAAUAUCAGGGACUAAAUUAUAAUUUGUCAUUUUCCAUGCCAAAUGACGCCGUUUUGGAUAUUACUGUUCAUCAUCUGUUUGCCGAAGACCAGUUCAACAGGGCAAAUGCAGCAAUCACGGCCACUAUACCCACGAUGCCGCCCACGAUCUCUCGCCUCCACGAUGCCCGCCAUUGCUGGAGGCAGGGACACAAGACCUUCUCUGGCUUUAUAAAAGCCAGAGAAAGGCCUCGGAGAGGGAACCGAAAGGAAAAACAGGGAGCACGAACGAAAACAGAGAGGGGACUAAAAACAGAGAAACAGUGAGAGAGCCAAAAAGACAGCAUUCCCAGCUUUGUCUUCGCUCUCAAAACGCAUGUGAAGUGCAGAGAAACUGCAAGCGUUGGUCAGCCUAAUUAUUCGUCUCCAGCUACACACUCCAAACCAUCAGGGGAAAGGAGACGACGAGCAGGGAGACUGGGAGAAAGUGGGCUGAAGACACAAACCAGAGAAAAUAAAAACAAAAGGGGACGCUCUCGACUUCUUCGGUGGCAGCUCUAAAAGCUCCAUUUUCAGCAGCCACUGCUGUUAUGGCUUGAGAAGGAACAAACAAACACUGAGGGGCUGACUGAAGGAGGCUUCAACAGAGAAUAAAAAAAAAACAGGGGAGAAUGGAAAAGGGAACGAACCAGGCGACUGAGAGAAAAAUGAAAGAAUUCGGGGAGGAGAGAAAAGCAGAGAACCAAGGGAGAUGCAGAGAACAAAAGCAAGCCUAAAAUAGUGAGAAGGGCGACCAGACAAGAAGAGACAGAAGGGGAGAAUAGCCUCGGCCCGCCAGGACACUUCGUCUCCUUUGCAACCAGGUAAGUUCCUUCAUUUCCUUCUCCUUUGCAAUUAUAAUUACAUAGGUACUGUACAUAUACAAAUUUAAUUCACUACUUACUGUUCAACCGACAUGUAAAUUCACUGGUUUGUAGUGACCAGGAUAGAACUAGCCCCAAAAAAUUAAAAAAAAAAUAAAAAAAAUGUGUGUAUGCAUAAAUAAAUAAAAUAUUGAUUUAAAUUUAUUUUUAUUUUAUUGUAUUUUAUUUUAUUUAGAUACAUAAAAAAUAUGUGUAUGUGUAUGCGUAAAAGUAAAUUUAUUUUAUUGGUUUAUUCAGCAUAGUUAGGAAUAUAAAAAAAUAUUUAUUUAAAUUUAUUUUGUUUUUAUAACUAUGUAAUAUUUACCAAUGUCAAGUUUGAAGUAUCUAUAGUUGAAUAUUCACUAGCAUCAAAGUCAGAAAUAUUACACACAAACCAUAAUAGCACAAACCAACAAAAUAUUAGCAAUUUAUGAUGAAAUUAGAAAUGUAGCCUGCCUCAGGCAGGACGCUUAAGGGUAAUAAUAUCUUUUCUUUUGCGUAACUAGUCUCGUACCAUAGAAUCUCUGUUGAUCAGUUAGGGUUCCUAGUAACCAUAAUACUAGGUGGUGACUCCUUAAACAAAAUCAUUCCCCAUAAAAAAAUAGGAUGCCAGAAAUCUAUUAUUUUUCAUGAAAAUUUUUAAGAUCACCGCGAUGUCCAGAUACGACAUUGCUAAUCAUAAAUUAAGUCAAUCUACAAUGCCAACUUUGUCUUAUGUUGUUGUAUUAUUGGCAAAAAUCAUAUUUGAAUGGUUUGCAAUUUAACCUAAUAACAAUCUAUCUUGAAGAACCAAAGUUAUAUACAAUGAUUAUUCACAGUUUAUGUCUAUAAAGAGAUACGAACGAGUAGUAUAAAAUUAUAACGAACUUGAUUAAUCAUUCGAAGAAUUUAAACGUGCCAUCAAGAACUUAGUAUGAGAAUUACUCAACCACUUAAAAGAUAGCAAGAAUGUUGAUUUUUUUAUAUUAAAAAUAUUCUUUCUCCCCUUAAAAAAAAAGUCUUUACAAAAGAGUUUAUAUAUUAUAAAGAAUUAUAAGUUUAAUAGGAUAUUCCUAAUGAAUAUAGAUAAAUCUAAUAAAUAUUAAUAAUAAUUCAAUGAAUCUAAAUUUAAAUAAAAGAACCUAAUAUAUCUAAAAGACAUAAUAUUAACUAAAAUAAACCUGGAGUGUUUGCAUCCCCUUACAGUUUUCUAGAUUCAAUUCUUUAAUUGUAGGGUAAUUCAAUGUCAAAUUCCAGGGAGGCUCUAACAUGAACCCUUUCAAUUUCAAAACUGUAAUACUUUGGCUGGAUAAUACUUUCUUUGGCAAAUUAUAAUGUGCCUUGAAUUUGAAUUUCUCUUUUCGAAAAAUAUUUAGCUCUAAUCCCUCCACCUUAUUCUGUUUUGCAUAAAAUUCGGAUUUUUCUUUUCCAACAAUAUCAAGCUCCAACUCGUUCACCUUAUUUUCUAUUGCAUAACUAAUUACACUAUUAAUACCAUUAUUUGUAUCCUCACAAAUAACCUCUAAACUAAAAGAAAACAACAUAAGGUUUUAUUAUGGAUCAACGUCAACUAGUUUAACUUUCUCGGGACAAUUUCAAUUGUUAAUUUUGUUCUGGUUGACAUUUUAUUUUGUCAAUUAAAACAGUAUAUUUUGGUUUCAGUGUACUAUUUUGACGUAUAUAUCCAUUGAUAUAAUGAAAAAAUGGGCUUAGAAACAUUUUAAUAUUUACCAUAUUCUCAUGUUCAAUGCAUGUGUUUCAAGAAGUGAUAUUAAGCUUUAAGAUUAGGCAUUGAUACCGAAUCACUUCUUAAGAAAACCCAUGAUGAAUUUAGAAAAAUAAUUAGAAAGGCCCAAUAGGUAUAUUGUCAUGAAAUUUAAAAUAUAGAAAUGACUUAUCUUAGAUAAAAUGAUUUAGGGUGAUGUGUUUUUUUUUUUUUAAUAUAAUCAUCAUCUUAUCUAAAUUAGAUGGUAACUUCUUAUCUAUUCUUACAAUUCUAAUUUUUACCACAAUGUUAGGUGCAAAAAAACAAUGACUUCAUUGGGGAUGAUUUUGACCAUUACCGCUAAGCUUCAUGUAUUUAAUUUUAUGAUGAAUGUAUCUUUCCUAAUUAAUUUUGUUUACUUUAUUUUUGCCUGGUUUUGUUUUUUUUAUUCUUUUAUAUUUCCUUAUUCUUUUAUGCAUGUUUUUUUUUAAUUAGAUAUGGACUUAUAUAUGUACACACACUACAUAAACUUUUAUUUGCACACACAUUGCUUAACGCUAGGAUUGAGGAAUUAGCAAUGUCUCGAUAGUUAUUGACUUGAACAACAAUUGUAAAACCACUAAAUUCUCAUGAAAAGUCUACUUUGUGGAGACAAAUGAGUCAAUAGAGCUUUGCCUUGAUCCAUUAUUUUCUACAAUGUAGGCCUUGGUUCAGCCUAUUAAAGCCCAUUAAUUGAACAGCGGGAUCCUUCUGAAACCAAUUAGAUAUUAAAUUUAUAUUCAUGUAAUGACUAGAAUCUUUUAAUAGAUUGUCUUCUUGUAUUAUCACAAUGAGAAGUCUUAUAAAGAUAAACUUUCAUGAGAAAAUGGAUGACAAGAUAGUAACAAUUCACAAAUAUACCACACAAAAAUUCUAACAUGAGUCUGAAACCUUGCAGCAAAUUAAGGGGACUUUUUUAAUAAAUAAAAACUUGAUACCGAGCUCCCGGACUUGAAAAAUAUAACUUGUCUUGCCAAUAGAACUCACAUACUCAAAUAUUGGAAGAAGUUGAGUAAUUAAGAACUACAUAUUUUAAAUGAGAGGUAUGAGAAUUUGAUUGCAAUGUUGAAUAUAUUUUUGCAAAAAUAGCUAUAAAGGUGCUCGUACAUUUUAGGACCCCUUUUUAUAGAUUUUUUUUUGUUUUUUGUUUUGUUUUGUGGAGAAAUGGACAUCAUACAUACCAACUAUUGAAGAAUAUGGCAUGCCCAAAUCUACACGCGCGCGCGCAUAUAUAUAUAUAAAUUUAUUUUCACAAUUGGUAAGAUGGGAAUAUUGCAUGACAUCUUGUAAAAGCUUAUAAAUGCUAGAAACAUGACAAGCAAAGUGAGAUACUGCAGGUGUUAAGGGCUGGCCUUGAAAAACCUGGGAAAAUAUGCUUAACCAGAAAAAAAAGACCCAAGUAGUUGUUUUAACAGAAUCAGGAUAUUGGCUCUGGUAUCUUUGGGCUAAUAUUAUUUCUCUUUGUUGGUGGUCUGAUUAGUUUAGAGGCGGCAAAUGUGCUUCUAGAAAUGGAAAGAAAUUAGGUCAAUUCAAUAGUCACGGUGAUAAUAGAAACUAUUUUUUCACUUAAUCACUGUCGAAGAACGAAUAAAGGUGAGAUGUUGUGUUCACUUGCUAUACAUGUAGAUAGUCAACCAUAUGAUAACUGGCAAAACAGUUUUAUGGUAAGUUUGGUGGGUUGAUCAAAAGCCAUUAAAGGAGUUUGUGGAAAAAAAUAGCAACCUAUAAUGAGGAAAAAUUUAUGAUUAGUUGUUUUAUAAGUUACCAACAGUAGUUGGACAACAAUUUUGAUGGGAAUUAAACCGUCCAUGGGUCCUCUAAUAGGUAUCGCUGGUUAUAUUAAUUAGUACUUAUGCACCCUCCAUGAUGGCGAGACAAUUUAAGUAUAUGCAAUGUAUCCCAAUAACAAUGAUGUGAAUAGCUUAAUGCAUGUCCUUGAACCAAAUCAGUUUCUUAUAAAUCUCAUUUCCUUAAAUACACAAAAAAAAAAAAAAACUAUUUUGGUCGUUGAGCUCCCAUUGUUGCUCCUAAUGGUUAUGAAGAUUGUGUUCUCCCAUGAAUUCUCCACUUUCUAUGGUAAAGUGUAAGAGUUAGGCUUAAAGCCACGACUUGAGGUAUACUUGUAUGGUAACACGAUAACAAUGACUUGAAUAGCUGAACGCGUACUGUUGGACCAAAUUAGUUUCUUACGAAUCUCAUUUCCUCAUUAAGUAUUGAGAAUCCAAAAAAGAAAAAACUAAUUUGAUCCAAUGUUAUGUGUUGGGUUGUCCAAGUUAUUGUUAAGAUAAGAUCAUGCAAUUAAAUCUCAUGCUGAAUGGAAGUUGUUAAAUGUUAACAAGAGACUCAUAACAGUUGAAUUUCAUAUGUGAGUAAGGAGUUUUAUAGCAAAUUUUGAUAUGAUUAUAUAAAUGAUGAAUUUAUAUUUCAAUAGCCUGGAUUUAUGAUUUAAAGAAAGCAUCCAUCAACGUGUAUAAAUCCUUACGUGCAUCUCAUGUGAAGACAAAGGUGAUCUCAAGUGCAGAUUCUCCCUAAUACAUAUAUACGACGUACAGCUUUUAAAGACAAUCAGACCAGAGAUGAGUUUUGUUGGUUGUAAUAUUGGAUUUUGGAACCGAACUAUGUAGAGAUGGCCAAAGACUGGCUUCCUGAGAAGUUUGAAACGGAAAUGGGGCUGAUAAAGUUCUUGAUGAAGAAUAUACCUAUUUCUUGGAGGACAUAAUCAUGUACAUCAACACUAGGGAGAAUUUUGAAGAGAAAAAAAAGAAUAAAUAUUUAUUUUCGAAAACAUGUUCAAGUGCCCUUCUGCCGCACAGAAUUCUGAUCCUGACGCCAGAAUCGUUUCUGUUUAUGAAUUAGUUUUGCUUUUUUUUUUUUGGUUGCAAAGUUUUCGAUGAAAAUGAAAUACAUGAUUUCUGAUUGUAUAUAUGGUUUCCGUAUAUUUAGACAAAUAUCAGAAGGCUAAUUAUUUUGUGAUACUAAUUUCUUUAUUUUCAUCUUUUUUUGUAAUUAGGUUUUGUGUUUUCGAUUCAUAAAUGUUUUUCUACAACUUCGAUGUGCUUGUAUUACCAUGCAUGGUUUUUUAAGAAAAACAGCGAAAACUAAAAUAAAAAUAUAUAUUAACUUGUAAAUUUUCAUUACAUAUAUUCUUGUUAGGACUCACAAAAUUAAAUAGAUUCAAUUAGAGGAAAUUCGAGCAUAUAAUUUAUAUUGUUUUUUUUAACUAAUUACUGGUAUACAAUCAAACACUAAUUCGAAUUAAAAUAAAAUAAAAUCAGUGACAUUACUUCUUCAUGAGAGAAUGAAAAGAACAGGAUCCGAUGGAAUCGCUAUGUAUCAUGUGAAGUUUACAAUUUCCACCACCGGUUCCAACGGUCAAGUGACAUGAGUUAAUCAUACUCUUUUAAGCAUAUUAAUUGUAAACUUGCUUUGCACUUCUAUAUUAGUAAUUAUUUAUUUUUGUAAUAUUUAUUAAUACCAGGCUGCAAAGUCAAUGCUCAGAGAGGAGAAUGAUUAACUACGUGCACGCCCUUGCAUUAUGAAUUUGUCUAUGACGACGUCCUCUUUAACAUGAUAGAGUGUAAUUUUCUUUGAUAAUUAAUUAAUUAAUUAUCUUUGGUCUUUCCUUCAAGAUCUAACAUCCCAUUUGCAAAAUAAUUAUAUGAAAAGAAAGUCGGUCCAAUAUUAAACUAUAUAAUAAGUUACAAGUCCAAUCAUUCCCAUUAUUUUAUCAAAUUACAUGUUCUAUUUAUAGAGAGCAUAUAGCACCUUGUUUGACAUAUUCAUACUAUCAUACACUUCAACUCAAUCGUUCUUCUCCACAAUCAAAUUCAGGCUUCAGCAACAGAAGUUAUAAUGGCGGUAAGCAUGUAUACAUAUAGUGGAUGAAAUUAACCGUAGGUUAAUUAAUAAGAGUCUUCUAUUAAUUACUAUUUUCUCGUAUCAUAUUACAACUGAAAGGAAAGAAUGGCACAGUUGUAUUGAAAAUUUUUGUUGUAAUUUACUCAGUCGAUCAUAGAAAUGAGAGUGCAUAUGGAUUGUGUUGGAUGUGAGAGCAAGGUGAAAAAUGCUCUGGAAAAAGUCAAAGGUAAGAAAUCACCUCCAAUAAAAACUUUAUGCAUGCGACAAUUUUCAUCUUAAUCAUCCCUUUUUUUUUCAUAAAUUAUUUUCAUUGUUCCUCUCUUUUUAAGGUUUUCUUUGGCCAUAUUUUCUUGGACUAUAUCUUAAACUUUUGUAUUUGAACUUAUACACACACAGGCAUAGAUGACAUAGAUAUAGAUAUGGGGUUGCAAAAGGUGACGGUCACAGGAUGGGCUGACCAAAAGAAGGUUCUAAAGACAGUUCGUAAGACAGGAAGAAGGGUUGAGCUCUGGCAAUUACCUUACAAUCCACAUCAUCAUAGCUAUUCUGACCAUUACUAUAACCAACACCAAGUUAACGGUCCACUUACUAUCAUAUAUCUUCGAAAAUAUGAUAGCAACGAUCAUGGUUAUUAUCAUCAUCCAGUGCAUUCCUCCAUCUUUAACCACCAGACAGGAGCAGUUUUCAGCGAUGAAAACCCUCAUGGUUGUUCUAUAAUGUGAACAACAUAGUAUAUAUUAUUCUUACUAUAUAUAUACUUAUACUGGUUUGUUUUACAUGUACUGAUUUCCUUUUCACUUUAUGUUUUGUUAAACCUUGUUCACAUGAAGCUAUAAAAUAUAGACAAGAAAUGCCUUUAAUUUUUUUCCUUAUCAUUUUGCAACUUAUAAAUUGUUUUGUUCUGAUUUGUGCCCGAGGCAAGGUAUUGUCUGCUGAGAAAAUCGAGCUCCAUUGAUCUUUUCUUUUUACUAAACUAAAUCACCACCGAUUGCAAUUAAAAUUUUGAUCAACAUUAUAUCAUUCGGAUAGGAUGAGGAUGCACUCCUCCACACACUCAAAUAAAUAUUUUCCAUGGAAGAGAUGCCUUGGAAUGUUUUAGAAAGGGGAUAAUAUUCUCAUGUGCGCCCCUAACUUAUUCGCUAUUACCCUUUCUGAGUUGUGUCCCUAAACUACAUAAUUAAGCAAUUUGGUCCAGAAUAUAUCUAAGAAUUAUCAAUCUAAUCCUUUCAUCCUCAAAUAUACUUUGUUGUCAUCUUUAGUUGUGGACUCAGAUGAGAAAUUAAGUUCUUAAGCAAAUUUUUUAUUGACAAAUCCAAUUGAUAAUUCUUGUGGUCAGUUCGUUGAAAGUUAUAACUAGAUUGGGGAUCAAAUUUGCAAAAUAAUUAGAGACAAAGGACUGAUAUUAUGUUACCCAAGAACCCCAUAAAAAUUAGGGAUGAAAACGUCACCACUCAACAGAUAUGAUACCAGGAAUCCUCUCAUCUAAUUGAGAUGGGUUUUAACUAGGAUUCAGCCUAGUGUGGAACUUAACUCCCUUUUAUUUUUUAGUAUACAAAUGAGUGUAUGUUCGUCCAAUUAAUACCCAACUUUUUUUUUUUAUUUCCUAAAUAUUCUAAGAAUUUUUGUGACUUUAUAGUUUUUAAUUUUUUAUUUCCUUAAUAUUGUGGAAAAAAAUUAUUUCAUUUAUCAUUUAAUCUUUGUAAAGGGAUGGUGAUAGGUAUUUACGGGCUAGGUUUUGGUAUUAUCUAUAUUUGAAUUCAAACCCGGUUUUGGUAUUAUCUACAUUUGAAUUCAAACCCAAAAUAUUAUCAAGUCAAAACUUGACGGGUGUAAAUUUUGAAUACCAAAAUCUAAUUCAUUCAGAUUUUAGUUAUCAAUUCAGAUAAUCAUUACCUAAUUGAUAUAGUAAGGUUUGUGAAAACUUGAAGUUUUGAUCAUGUAUAUAAGAAUCUAUCACAAGCAGACUAUUUGGAUAAUUUAACAUAUAUUUUUAUAAACGGGUACUGAGAUAGCACUAGGUUUAAGAAGAUGCAUGGCUAUGCUAUACUACAGUACGUAGUGGCUUUAAAUGGAAAUAAUAAGAGAUUUGACGGUUGGUUGAGAUUAAAUUUUUUUAAAAGAUUCUACAAGUUUUUUUUUUUUUUGGAAAGCCACUAUGUCAGGACUAUUAGAUCUUCAAAAAUUAGUCCUAAAAGUUUCUGCUUAGACUAAUUUUGUUGUUUUUUUCUAGAUUGUUUUUGGAUUUAUUAUUUUAUUUAAGAUUUUAUGUUAGUUUUCUUUAUGAUUUUGAAUUCUAAAUUCUUUUUAUAGAGAUAGGAUUUUCUAUUUAUUUAAACAUUUUGUAAACAUUUUAAGGAGAAACUUAAUAUAUACUUAAUUUUUAAAGAAUAAAAACGUGAAUUUAAAAUUCAAAUCUACAAUUCAUUUUCUUAUCAAAUUCUUGAAGUGGUGGGGGUAAAGACUGCCUCAUAUUAUACAGUGUUGUUAUCCAUUUUUAAGUUCCCACAAAAAAAAAAAAAAAUACAAAAAAACUAUAUAUAUCAAAAAAAAAAUAUUCAAAAGAAAUUAAAAAAUAAUAAUAAUAGGAGCGAGAAAAUGAUGUUGGAAUGCUGAAAAAUAGCCAAAAAUUGAUUGAGAAAGUUUAAAAAUGCAAAGGGUUGGAAUUUGACAGUUUAUCGUUAGUUGAUGAGAGUCUUGUUGAUAAAGAAAAUUCAAUUUUAAAAAAAAUAUAUUCAAAAUCAAAUGUUUAUGUACUCAAUUAAAUUUUAUCUAAUGUUUAAUUGAAUAUAUGGAGGGUUUGAUUGCAAGAAAAAUUGAUUUUGAAGUCAAUUUAGACUUUUAUUGGAAGAAAUUAAAGUUCUGAGGUCUAAUUAUAAUUUUGAAGAGUUGAUUUGGCCAAAUCAGGGGCUUAAUUGCAUAAUUAUUAAAGUUUGAUGGCCAAUUAAAAAUUUAAUUGAAACAAUCGAAAACCAAGAAUCAAACCAGAAAAGGCGCUAUAUAAAAUCAAGAGAUCCAAUUACAACUCAUCCGAGGGACUUGGUUACAAAAUUGUCAGAACAGCCGAGGACCCAAUCGAAAAUAUUCAUUUUGAAAAUUUGAAACGGCGUUUUUUCCUUAAAGAGCAUUAUUCACUGUCUCCUUCAAAGAAACCAGUUUUUAGCAGUAAAAUAGGGAUAUGUUUUGCAGCAAAUUGCUCCAAUUAGGGGCACAUUUUAUGGCUCCUAUCCCGCAGUCUCCAGAUUACAAGGCAACCAUUACCACCGCAGGGCUUUCCCUGGCUUAUAAAAGCCAAAGAAAGACAGUGAAGAAGAGGGGGGGCAACGAGACAACGAGAGGAGAAAAAGAAGGAGACAAAGGGAGAGUACAGUGAAGAGAGGAAAGAAAACCGAGAGAGGGAGACGAACGAAAAAAAAAAGGGCAGAAAGAAAAAAGAAGAGAGCCGCACCAGCACUGCCAACGCCAUUUUCAGCUCAUCAUCUUCUUCGUCCAGCAGCCACUGCCAUUCUCCAUCAGAGCCGCACCAGCACUGCACAACAGAAAGGAGAAAGAAGAAGAGUAAGGGAGAGCAGGGACAGAAAGAAAACGGGAAAAUAAAGGAGGAGAACCAGACGAGACAGAGAGGCAAAGCGUGAGGAAGAAAACAGAGGAGAAGGUGGGAGAAACAGAGGGGCAGAAAUAAAAAACUAGGAGGCAGAGUGAAGAAAGGAAGGAGAGGAAGCAGUGUUGGAACAGCCCUUCACACUGUUUCUUCGUCUGCAACUAGUGCAAAGGAGAGGGACUGUUGAACCUUUUUCAAAACUGCAGUAUCCGUGAUCAAGCUCAGAGAAACUGGAAAAAAACACGAAUACCAGUAGCAAGGAAAAACAAAAGAAGAUGACGAACCAGAGGAACCGGAGGAAAAGCAAAUGAAAAGGGGAAAAUAUAGGCCAAAACAAAGCUCAUGCAUUUUGGCUUUAAUAACCAGUUUAUUAAAUUCACGAGAACUAGAUCAAUAUUUUAAAAAAUUCCAAAAAAAUUAUUUUGUUUUCUUUUAAUAUCUAGAGUUACAACCUUAUAUGUAAGACGUAUUCAAUAUAUUAAAUUCUUUUGAUAACGUCAGAACAAUUAGGUUUUACCCGACAAGAUAAGAAUCUUCUUACCGAUGGGAACUUUUCUUAAACCAUAGACGAACCAACAACUAGAAAACACGACAAGACCUUAGAUUUUAUUAGACAAUAAAAAAAUGCAGCUUACCUUAGAUAAGGUGUAUUUAGGGUGCUAAUACCUUCCAUUUACGUAACCAGUCUCCGUACUCGAUCUCUGAGACCAGUUAGGGUUCCUAAUGACCAAAAUACUAGGUGACGACUCUCAUUCUAUUUUUCCACACAUUUUUAGAUAAUACUAAGAUUUUAAGGGUGUAUAUUUUCACCGCGAUGCUGCACACAUGCGACAUACAGCAUAAAUGGAUUAAAAAGGGACUCAGAUAAGUGUUUUUUUUUUUUAAUUAAAAUUGGUGUCUUUUUCGGUUUCACUUGCAAACGGAACACCUAUCUCCAAAACCCAUGUUUGCAAACAUGUAUGCUAAGCGUCAAAAGAUGAAAUCUAUGUGCGAUAGGAUUAGCAAUUUACCUGAUGCACUCCUCCUUCACACACUCUUUUCUGAGAUGCCAAGGAGUUUUGAUUGGAUACAUUGUUCACUCUUUAUUUCAAAUCAAUUCAAUUUUUCUAAUUUCUAUUUUAGUUUUCUUUAUUUUUUAUCCAAUAAACUUUAUUUCUAUUAGAAAAGAUUUGUUUUUCAAAUUAAAAAAAUUAACAUUAAAAGAAAAUUUUAACUAAAAAUAUGUUUUUUUUCCCGAGAAUUCAAAUAACUAUCUUUAUUAAUGAAUAUUUAUUUUUAUUUUCAUAUAAUUAAAUAAAAAACAAAAAGCAACCAUGUUAUUAGAUUAAAUAUUUACAUUUACAUUUGCAUUUAUGUUUUUUAUUUUUUACAAAAAAAAAACCCAACUGUUUUAGCCUUUAAAUAGAUUAACCAUUUGAUUUAUUAAUUCAAAUAUUUUUAAUUCGUUUUUUUUAAAAUACAAACACAAUCAUUUCAAUUUUGAAUUUAAAAAUUUUAUGCUAUCAAAACUCAACUCCACAGAUUCAUAGCUUCUUGUUUUUUUUGUUUUACAUUACAACUUAGCUUGGAAUGUUACCCGUAACUAGUUGGUAUCUAAUGUCUUUAACUAUUUCCCCAUGAAUUUGUAUCUCAAGAGCAGUCUGGUUUGUCAUGUACAUGCACUUCAUGGAAAAUGCUAGCUAGCUGGCACAGGAGCCAAAGAAGAACGAAACUUGGCAUAUUCCACUUUUCAGAAUAAGCUGUGCGCUUAAGGAGUUUGAAAUGCGGUAGCGGUUGCUUUUCAAAUAGUUUUUUGUACUGAAAAGUAUGUCAAUAAUUUUUUUUAUUUUUUAAAAAUUAAUUUUGAUAUCAGCACAUAAAACGAUCCAAAAAAUACAAACCGCACUCAAUUUUAGUAAAAAAACAAAAUUUAAAAUUUUCCAAAAAAUAGAUUCAACCGCAGUGCCAAACAGACAUUAAGAGUUGUUUUUUAAAAUAUUUUUUAUUUAAAAAUAUAUUAAAAUAAUUUAUUUUUAAUAUAUAUGAUUUAAAAUCAUAAAAAAUAUUAGAAAAAUUCAAUAACACUUUUUAAAUAUAAAAACAAAAACACUUCAGAAGUACAAUCUUGAUUAAUAAACAAACCAUCAAAGCAAAUCAUGGUCAACAACAUUGCAACCCCAAAUAAUUUUAUAGUGGCUUCCUCACUUAUCUGGUCGUCCUCAGCAUCUUUAUUGCUGCUGUUACUCCGCUCUCUGAAUCAGUAGGUAGAGCUCUGGCACGGUCAAUGAGGACCUUUACCACAGUGGAAUGACCAUAUGCUGCUGGCAAAUGGAGUGGGAUUUCACCUUUCUUAUUGGCUUGGAAUAACAGUGGUGGACACAUUUUAAGAAUUAUAUCAACAAAAUUAUAUCCUGCCGUACAGUUAGUUCAAUGGCAAGCUGGCGUUGUGUUAUUUGGGCAUGGGAUUAAUUUGCUUACAUUUUGAACUUCCAUGCAGACUGCAGGAUCUGUCCCUUGGUGGUGGUUAUGUUUACCCUACUAACAACAUUGUAGUAAUCAAUAUUUAAAAAUAGUGCUUUCUGAAUUUCCAUAUCUCAAUUUUAUUAUAUUACCUGUAGAAUAAAAGAAAAUACAAAAAACAUUCAUUAAAAUGACGUUUUAACCACAAAAACAAUCACUGUCAUAAAAAAGCCAAUUUAGAGAAUCAGGAUUAAACAACUGCAUGUGGGUUAAUUAUGAUUGAGGUGUUCUUCGAAACCAAAAGUUAACAAAUUGGCCCUCCUUCUUUUUCUUUUUCAUUUCUUUUCCUAUUCUCCCUCUUUUUUCUUUUUCUUUUUCUUUUUUAUUUCAUCUCUUUCUCUUCAGUUUUUCUUUUUCUUUAUACUCAUCCACACACGUUUUCUCUUUAACACAGGAACAAAAAAAUGAAAAGGCAAAAAAGUGUGAUCGUAUUAAAACACCAUUUGCUAUACACUUGUACUAGAAUAGUUUUCUUUUUAUUUCUUUAUGUACUCGUCUUACUGUAUUUGAACUUCUUUUUGUACUCGUCUUCCUGUGUUUGAACUUAUCAAAUAAUUAUUUCAAUUCAAAAUUUUUUUAUUUUUUUUAGCAUAUAUUAUAACUUAUUAAACAAUGAUUUCAAUUUAAAUUAAUUUAAGGGACGAAACCUUAAAAAUAGUAAUACAGUGUAUAUAAUUAUUUAAUUUUAAUUAAAAAAAAGUGUCAAUAGUAAGAUUGAAAUUCGUAACUCUUGACAACUCAAAUUUAUGCUUGAACUGUAUGCCAUUAGCUUUCUGCAUCCUCUAGCCUUGAUGAUAUAUCUGAUGUUCAUUCCAACCCAACCCGAAGUCAGACCAGCACCAAGCAGAUACACCAUAGAUAAUAUAUCUGAAUUAGAGAUUUUCAUAGCAAUGCCACAAACUCUUCUGCUCUACGGACUCCUUGUAUAGCAAGAACAUCUGCACGGUGACUAAUCUCCCUUGGUGUACGUACGAGUGAAGGAUACUGGACCCAAGCAAGAUGAAAAUCUACCUGCUAGAAUGAAAAGAUCAUUAAAGCGCCACGACCUGAUAAAAUACCUUAGUCCUGCCUAUACGAUGAUAAUUCCAUAGCUUUAAUUGCUGCAAUCAAUUCAGCCUCGUUUGAUUCUUUAUUUCCCACUGGAAUAGAGAAAACCCCUAGAACCACCCCACAUUGAUUCCAAUGAACAUGUUCGAUCCCCGGGGGGCCAUCGAACAACUGAACUAAUUUUCUUAAUAUUUGACCCUUUUUUUCAAACCAUCACCAGAUAAAAGUAGAUCAAGAGCACAAUAUGGGAAGUCAGAAUCUAAAGCUUUAAUCCAUACACGAAAUCUAGUUAAAAUAAGGAGGAAUAUGGUGUCACAAUCUGAAUUUUAUUCUGAAGACCAAUUCAUUCCUAGUGAUCCAUAGCUGAUGGUAAAUAAAAGCAUAAACCAUACCUUCCUUUGGAAUUUUCCUUCAACAAGGACUUCCCAUUGCUGAAAAAGGUCAGGAAAAUUUAUUGGGCAACAUCAAGAGAGGCCCCACCAUUCACAUGAUUUUGUCCAGAUUUUCCAGUGAUUUUGACAGUGGAUGAGAAGAUGCUCCACAGAUGCUUCACUACACCAUUAAACAAUUUCCAAGGAAGGAACUGCGAGUUGAAUAAAUUAAUCUCCCUGGUCUUUCCUUGAAGAUCCAUCAUCCCAUUUGCAAAAUAAUUAUAUGAAAAGAAAGUCGGUCCAAUAUUAAAUUAUAUAACAAGUUACAAGUCCAAUCAUUCCCAUUAUUUUAUCAAAUUACAUGUUCUAUUUAUAGAGAGCAUAUAGCACCUUGUUUGACAUAUUCAUGCUAUCAUACACUUCAACUCAAUCGUUCUUCUCCACAAUCAAAUUCAGGCUUCAGCAGCAAAAGUUACAAUGGCGGUAAGCGUGUAUACAUUUAGUGGAUGAAAUUAACCGUAGGUUAAAUAUUAAGGGUCUUCUAUUAAUUAAUAUUUUCUCGUAUCAUAUUUUACCCAGUCGAUCAUAGAAAUGAGAGUGCAUAUGGAUUGUGCUGGAUGCGAGAGCAAGGUGAAAAAUGCUCUGGAAAAAGUCAAAGGUAAGAAACCACCUCCACUAAAAACUUUAUGCAAGCGACAAUUUUCAUCAUAAUCAUCCCUUUUUUUUCAUGAAUUAUUUUUUAUGUUCCUCUCUUUUUAAGGUUUUCUUUGGACAUAUUUUCUUGGACUAUAUCUUAAACUUUUGUAUUUAUAUAUAUACACACACAGGUGUAGAUGACGGAUAUAGAUAUGGGGUUGCAAAAGGUGACGGUCACAGGAUGGGCUGACCAAAAGAAGGUUCUAAAGACAGUUCAUAAGACAGGAAGAAGAGCUGAGCUCUGGCAAUUACCUUACAAUCCACAUCAUCAUAGCUAUUCUGACCAUUAUUACAACCAACACUAAGUUAACGGUCCACUUACUUACCAUGCUCCUCAGCCUUCCUCUUCUUACAAUUACUACAAGCAUGGAUACGAUAGCAACGAUCAUGGUUAUUAUCAUCAUCCUGUGCAUUCCUCCAUCUUUAACCACCAGGCAGGAGUAGUUUUUAGUGAUGAAAACCCUCAUGGUUGUUCUAUAAUGCGAACAACGUAGUAUAUAUUAUUCUUACUAUAUAUGUACUUAUAUUGCUUUGUUUUUCAUGCACUAAUUUCCUUUCCACUUUAUGUUUUGUUAAACCUUGUUCUCGUGAAGCUAUAAAAUAUAGAUAAGAAAUGCCUUUAUGUUCCUUAUCAUUUCUAUUAAAGGUUAUAAAAACAGAGGCCGGGGCCUCUGCACAGGGAAGAUGAAGAAAAUUGCAGCAAUCGCCGCCUAUCGUCGUCCUGCCUCUAGUGCCACCGCCUCCGCCUCUGCUAUAGAAUAAAAGGAGAAGAACAAGAUAAAAUAGAGACAAAGAGGAGACUGAAAGAAAAACAAAAGAAAACAGAAGAAAAUAAAGGAGAAGAACAGAAGGAAAAUACGCAGAGAAGAAGAAGAACCGAUCACCGACCAAGCAACUGGUCACUAUAUAAAAAGCUUUUCCUGUAGCCAUUGAUUAACUUUUAGCGUCAAAUACAUGCAUGGACAAAAGAUCUGAAAUUAUUUGAACAGAAAAGCUGGAAUUUAUACAGUGACAGUGAUAGAAAAGCAAGCAAUUAUGUACAAUUAUCCUAUAUGCAGUCAGUGUAUCUAAUUCCGACUUGCUUUUUUUUAUUUUAUUUUUAUCCUUAAUCAAUUAUUCAUUUUAACAUUAUUCUUUUUCUUAAUUUCAUUCUCUUCACAUAAUUUUAACAUGACAAUUAAAAAAACCGAUUGUAUUAGUAACUUAACACACCUAGUAGCUGUAUAGCGUCUGUUCAUAAGUGUCAAUAACAAUAAUGAUUACAUACAACUAUCAUUCCUAUUAAUGGUUAUAAAAUAUCAAAUCAAAGUGUUUUAUUUUUUAAAUAUUUUUAUCUUUUCUAGCUAUAUUUUAAAAAAAUUUACGACAAUAAAAAAAAUGACUCUUGAAUGCCACAUGGUAUGGUCCCAGAAUUGGACGGUGCAAAGAUUUCUUGGUCCCACAAAUAUUUCUGAUCGAUUAACUUUACUAGUGAUUUAGCAUUUGCUUGGCUGCUUUUGAAAUUUUUUCCCCUGACUUUAGCAAAUAAUUUCUGGACUGAUUUGAUUUUUUAUCUUGUUGCCCAGGUUUAACGUGUCAUCCGCGGAAAAGAAGACUCUUGGGUAGAAUUCGAUUUUUUAAAAAAAGUAAAAUUCUUUUUAUAUUUUUAUAAAAAAUUAUUAUAUUAAUAUAUAUAAAAAAAAACAUUUUAAAUGCCCCCGCAAUACUUACUGUCCCGUGCCCUCUGCAGUAUUGUCCUUGGAGCCCAAGUUUAAACCAAGAAUCAAUCCUGUCUCAGUUUGUUUGAGGGGGGGGUCUAUACUUUUAAGUGGUAGUAUAAAUCAUGGUUUCCACACUUGAUCGAGUAAAGCAGAUUGAUAUAGAGUUAAUCGGAUUUUAAUUCUAAAUUAAAUUAGUCAAGGAGUUGAACGUUUAACUUUUUUAAAAAUUAUUUAAACCAAGAAUCAAAUCUUGAUAGCUUCUCUGUUUUAAAUAAAAAUGCUUUGUCAACACACCAUAUUAACACAUUUGAUAGAAAUUGAUUUUAGUAUUAUAUAUUUAUAUCUGUAUAUAUUGUUUAAACCAAGAAAAAAUAUUUAAAUUACGGCGACUUGGGAUACGUAAAGGAAUGUUUUACUAUCCUGUUGCACCAAAAAUUAUUUUUAAAUUAAUUUUUUAAAGUGUUGAUAACUAGACGUAGUAGUGUCUAGAGUUAAAAUUCUACUUUUCACUAUUUAAAAGGCCUUUUGGUUCGGCCACUAGCUAGCACUCGGCCAGCAGCCAUGCAGCGCCUCGUCAACAUCCCAGGAAGACAACAAGCGUGCCUGCCCUGCACUCACUUUCGGGCCUAAAGGCCCAGGGAUUUUUUUUAAUCAAAAUCUUUAAACAUUUAGAUAAUUCAUAUAAUAUUAAAAAGGAACGUAUUGCAAUUAUAAUAAAUUUUUUUACUAUCUUUUUUUUUUUCAAAUUAAGCAUUUGAUCAUACCUAAAUUUUUUGAGUUUGACCAUACUAAAAUACUUUAGGUUUAGGUUUAGCAUGAUUACUAGAUCCAAGUCUCUUGAAUCUGACAUGAUUGUCAGAUCCAAUAUCUAUAAAAAAUUAAAAAUAACUAUUUAGAAUUUUUGUUUAAGAUACUUCAAGAAUAUUUUAAAUUUUUUUAAUAAAAAAAAUACAUUAGAAUUUCUAUUUAAAAUACUUUAAGGAUAAUUUAAAUAUUUUUUAUAUUGUUUUUAAAUACAUCUGAAUUUUAUUUGAUAGAAAAGUAAGAAAUUCUAAAAUAUAUAUGAUUUUGAUAAUUUUUAAUUUAAAAUAACAAUACUUCUUAAAAAAAAAACAUGUUUUCGUAAUUUAAAAAAAAAGAAACACAUUAAUAAAAAAAAAAUGGAGUUUUGAUUAGAUACAUUGUUCACUCUUUAUUUUAAAUCAAUACAAUAUUUCUAAUUUCUAUUGUAGUUUUCUUUAUUUUGUUAUUCAAUAAACUUUAUUGCUAUUAGAAAAGAUAUGUUUUUCAAAUUAAAAAAAUAUAUUAUGAAAAGAGAAUUUUAACAAAAAAUAUAUUUUUCCAGAGAAUUCAAAUAACUAUUUUUAUUAAAAAUAUUCAUUUUUAUUUUUAUACAAUUAAAUAAACAAAUAAAAAGCAAUCAUGUUACUAGGUUAAAUAUUUACACUUACAUUUAUUUUUUUGUUUUUUACAACAAAAAAAACCCAACUGUUGUAGCCUUUAAUUAGAUUAACCAUUCUUUAUGUGAUUUAUUAAUUCAAAUAUUUUUAAUUUGUUUUUUUUAAUACAAACAUCAUCAUUUCAAUUUUCAAUUUAAAAUUUUUAUGCUAUCAAAACACAUGUUCAGAGGUCUGACUUGUCAUCCAAUGGAGUCGAUGAGAUUAGUCCAACCAUACAUGCACUUCAUGGAACAAGCUAGCCAGCUGACACAGGAGGCAAAGAGGAAUGAAACUUGGCAUAUCCCACUUUUGAGAGUAGCUUUUGUUACAAUGUUUUGAUCGUGGUAACAGUGUUUUUUAAAAUAUUUUUAUUCAAGGAUAUAUUAAAACAAUUUAUUUAUUUUUAUUUUUAAAAUUUUAUUUUUAAUAUUAACAUAUUAAAACAAUCUAAAAUUAAUAUAAAAUUUAAAAAAUAAAAAAAUCUAAUAAUACCUUUUAAACACAAAAACAAAGAAUUUGCAAGUACAAUCUGAAUUAAUAAACAAACCAUCAAAGCAAAUUGUACUGAAAAUAAAUUUAGUUUUACCAACUAGUAUUUGCAUCACUAAAUUUUAGUCAUGAAUAAGAAAAAUAAAUAAAUAAUAGUGUUAAGAGUUUUUGACCACUUGACUUGUGAUGCGUAUCAAUUACAAUAAAAAAUAAAAAAUAAAAAUUGACAACCAACCACAUAAUUUCUGACCAUAUGACGUCAUAAUUUUUUUCAAAAACAAUAAGAUCGUCUUAAAAAUACAUCUGAAUUUUAUUUAAUAGAAAAUUUAAAACAUACUCUAAAUUCUUGCAAAUGAACCUCAACACGAAAUACACAAAGAAGAAGAAGGUCAAACCAAUGAGACAAGUGCUGAUGGCAAGCCCCAAUGAAGAUUCUAGAACUGUAUAUGUGCCUGUGAUGAAUGCGAUAAUCAUUGUACCCAUGCCAAUCAUGGUCAACAAUGUGGCAACCCAAAAUAAUUUCUCAGUGGUUCCUACAUCAUCUAUCUCUUUAUCCUUUACCAUUUCAAAACCUUUAAUCAGUGAAAUUAAAAAGUGGAUAAAAACAGCUAAAAUAGAGAGCACCAACGACAUUGUAUCUGAUACAACAAAUGCUAUAAAAGCAGCUUUUUUAGCAAGAAUUGCAGUGCCUCGAUCGCUCUUGUAACCGCCAGGUAAGGUGAAUGCUGCUGCAAAUGUUACCGUUGCUAUUAACGCCGCAACAACUAGUUGAGACUCUCUUGCUUUACUCAAAGCAUCCUUUAACUCUUUCUUUCUCUCAACAUUCUCUAUUCUCAAAACUCGACUACCAAGCGGUCCACUGCCAAUAUCUUCAAGGGAUUCUAAGAUCUCUUUCUGCAAAAUAUUUAGGGUAAAAUAUAGUAGAUUUCCAUCAUUUUUGGCUAUUUAUCAAAUAUUAUAAAUCAACUUCCGGACCUUUGUUUUUGUUUCCGCAACAACUUUGUUUGCAAUCAAAUCCUUUCUGUUACUGUAUAUAUUAGUAGGUAACAAAAACUAAUUUGGUUGAAAUUAAAAUGCAUGCUUUUAUUUCCUAAGAUUAAUUUUAUAUUAAAUUUCCUAAGAUUAUAUUAAGUUUCUCUUAGAUUUUUCAACUUUAAUUCUCAGAUUUUUAAAAUUUUAAUUAAUUGUAUUUUUUUUCAUUCAUUUGUAAUACUUUUGUUUUUUUAUUGAAUAAUAUAUGUUUUUAUAAAACAGUUACAUGCGAAUCAUAUGCAUAAUCUGUUAUUGUAGAUGAAAAACUUAACAAAAUCAAUAAAAUGACUUCAUUCCAAAUAUAAAAAAAUUAUUAAGUUAUUCGGAUUACACUUUAUUUUUAUAUUUAGUACUUCUGAUAUAGAUAAUUUUUAAAAGUAUUUUUUUAUUGUAAAAUAUUUAAAAAUAAUUUUUUUAUAUUUUAUUUUAUUUUUAAUAUCAGCUUAUCAAAAUUAUACAAAAAAAUAAUUUAAUUUUUUUAAAUAAAAUACAUUUUUAAAACAAAACAAAAAAUAGAAGAUACUCCUAAGAUGAUACAGAACUGAGCCCAACUGAACAAAAGUUAUGUGGACCUACUUGGUGGACAUGAUUAAGAUGCGGAGCUAAGAGAAUCUUAGAUGCAAAGUAAAACCAGUUUGCUGUGAUUUAAUUGAUUCAUUAAUUGAUUUAAUUGUGAAUCACAACAGUUAAUUCAUAGAGGAUUGAUUACCUGUAUCUCUCCAAAAUCUCUCAACACGUUGAUGACGCUUAGCUUUCGCUUAUUAAGACCAUAUUUCUCAUCUUCAAUAUAACCAUAUUCAAAAAAAACACGUCUCCAUGGCUUCAGCUCGCGCGCUAAAGCAGCAAUUAGAUGGAAGGGCGUGUUUCCAUUGUCAUCCUUCUUCGAUUUAAGUCUCUCAAGUAAUGGAAUCCUCAGACAUUCCUUGAAUACUUCGGUUCUCUUACUGGCCACAGCAUAGUGAAGGGCAUUCCAACCUCUGUUAUCAACUAGCUCACAACAAGCUGGGCAUCGAGAAACAAUCUCUUUCAUUAUUCCUACAUGUCCUUGAAUGGCAGCAAUGUGAAGAGCUGUUCUCUUCUUCUCUGUUUCAGCAAUGUAGGCCGCGGACGCAUCAUAUUUUAGUAAUACUUUCACUGUAAGAGCACACCAGUCAUAAAAGGCAGCGUAGUGAAGUGGUGACCAACCGUUCUCAUCGGUUGUUUUCGUCAACGUUUUUUCUUUUUCUAACAAUUUUCUUGCUGUCCCUGAAACCAUCAAAACAAGGAAUAAAAGUUAUCCUUCAUGAACAACAGAGAUUUCACUUAUGCCCCGUUUUAUAAUUUCUUUUAGAAAACUAGUUUCUAAAAUAAUUUUCUAGAAAAUAAAUUAUUUUUCAUGUUUUGUAGAAAAAUAAAUUGUAAAACACUUUUCAACUAUAUUAUUAAAAUUAAGCUGAAAAAUAAAUUAUUAAUAUAUUUUUUUUCAUGUUUAUUAAAAUAAUAAAAAACAAAUCUUACUAAUUAAAAAGUUGAAUAAGAAUAAAAUUGAAAAAAAAAUUUAAUUUCAUAAAUGAUUUCAAAUCAAAUAAAUAAGAUCACGAAGAUUAAAUCUAACUGAUAAAAAAAGUUGAAAAAUAAUAAAAUUAAAAAAUAAAGACUAAAUUUUAUAAAUAAAUAAAAAUCAAUUAAUGAUAAGAGAAAAAAAAUAAUAAUGAUAAAAAUGAGGAUCAUGAUUGCCAGACUUGAGCACAAAAUCCUACCUUCAUCUGUCUUCAUGAUUGCCGCGUGUAGAGCAGUUCUACCAUUAGGGCCGCCAUAGUCCACUGAAAUGCAAUUAGUUAGGAUUUCAUCGAUCACCUUUUGUUGACCCCGCCAGUCAGAAGCAGCUGCAAUAUAAAGUGGAGUUUCUCCAUGAACAUUGGCGGAAUAUGAAAACUCAGGGUCCUCUUUUGUCAAUAUUUCAACCAACUGGCUCCGCCUAUGUCGAGCUGCCUCGUGCAACGCUGUAUCUUGCUCUUCAUUGGUCAUCCUCAACAUCUUUUUUGCUUCUGUUACUCCGCUCUCUGGAUCUGAAGGUAGAGCUUUUGCGCGGUAAAUGAGGACCUUUACCACUUUGGAAAGACCAUAUCUUGCUGCCAAAUGGAGGGGGGUUUCUCCUUUCUUAUUGGCUUGGAAUAACAGAGGUGGACACAUUUCAAGAAUUAUAUCAACAAAAUCAGUGAAUUCCGGUUCCCUACUAUGGUUUCCUAAGUAGACAAGAAGAAUGGUGUUCUCGUCUGGAGUCAAUAACUGAUCAAGGCGGGUUUGAUAAUUCUCAAAGGGAUCGAUAUUGCCUUCCUCCGCAGCUUUGUACAAGACAGGAUCCAUAUAGGGAUCGAUGCUAUUCAUUUUCUCAGAAGAAUCCAUUUUGUAGCUUAGAGAACUGACUAAAUGAAAUGUAAGCAAAUAAAGGGGAGGAGAAAUCACUGUGGCUCAAAGGUAAGAGGUUACACUCCUCAACUGAUCACAAGCUGCUGAUUU